UGUUUAUGAUAUCAGGCAUUCCACAUCGUGGAAUCAUCAUUUGUUGUAUGGUACUAGAGUCAAGGUUACCAGUAACAUUCAGGUGAAAAUAUUCUUGAUAUGUUUUGAGUGCUAGCUCCAAGUGGUCAUCAAAAUCACUGCUUGUGAGAGUGAUAUCACUUGGGUAGUACCCAAACUUUUUGAGGUAUUGUUUGAGCUCAAUAAGCCCUUCCACAGUUUGGCCCUUUUGAAUCCCCUCCAGCCCUUGAAGGAAGCUGCUAAAAGAUUGCCGAUGCUCGGGUUUCAAAGUUCUUGCCUGACCUCUGAAGGACUGGAUAGAAAAGAUAACGAGGAUUGCUGAUAAAAGAUGGGAAAGUUUAGGAGCCAUAUCGUGUGUUGUUUCGGAGAAUGGCUUCAGACGUGGGUUGUGGCUUUCAAUUCUAGUAUCGGAUGGCUAUUUAUAGACAUAUAGUAUGUUGUAUUGGCAUUAGGACCAUAGUUAUAAAACCCGACCCGGUAGUUGACCCGGUAAAAUGACUGGGUCACGGGUCUUGGGGGUCAACCCGGGUUAACCCGGGUCAACCCAGGUCAAUAACAAAAGGAACACAUUAAUAUGGUUCUUUUGACAUAAAAUAUCACAUUAACAUAUAUGUUAGCAUAAUUAAUAAGAAAAUAUCACAUUAACAUAUAUACUAGCAUAAUUAAUUAGCAUCAAGGUGCAUUUAUCUUCAAAUAAAUAAAUAUUUAACAUAAUUUAAAGAUAUUAAAGAUAUGGAUAAUAAAAUAACAAGUUGUUCUAGAGACACAAAAUUUAACAUAAUAGAUAUAAGGGGACAAUAUUCAAACUCUAGUUUGCAUUAGAAUCUAUAAAUCAACAUUUUAACCCCAUUUUACAUUAGAAUCCAUAAAUCAACAUCUUCAGCUGCAUAAAAAAACAAAAGAUGAGUAAAAACCCAAGAGAGCAGCUACUGGCCUCAUCUGUGCCUUCUAGGAUCCGCUAGUAAAAAUGUCCAACAGAUAUCAAGUUCUAUAACAGUGUUUGAAAUUUGAACGUGAAACUUAUCAUAAAAAAUUCAAAUUUUAAUCACGGGAGCAUCCCGUGUAAACAAUAUUCUCUUUGUUUUUUUCCCCUUACAGCUAUGCUUUUUUCAUGCUUUUUAAUUUUUUUCCCCUUAUAGGACGAGCAAUCAAAUAAACCAAGAUGAGAAAUUAAGGAAACUGGGACUAUGAUAGACUGGGAAUGUAGAGAGAAGAAAUCACUAUGUUGUAUUCAACAUCAUGCCCAUUAUUGUUGCAUCAUGAAUCAGCUUCUUACUCAGUAUUAAUUCAAAUAAGAAAAUUAAAAAACUUGCAAUAUGGAACUCAUAGAAGCAAUGAGAAUAACUGCUCAUCAUCAUAAUAAUUUGAUAUUCAUCUUGCCAAAAAGCAUACAGGCAAUUUCAAUUCGGCAGAGUAAUGAUUGAUUCAUGGUACAGAGUAAUGACAGACAUGUAUGGCAGUAAUUGGUUUAAAUGAAUGUGCACAAAUUGGAUUAUUCCAGAUUAUAAUGUAAAAACAUCAUCAGAUAAAAGACUUGUAAAAAUAUUAAUUAUUCUAGAUUAUCAUACAGAGCACAAACCAAGAGGAGCAUGUUUUUUAUAAUGUAUAUUCAUUAAUAAAUUAUUAUGAAACUGUCCUGAGAAUGUUUGUUAUGAGAAAGUUAAAAAAAAAAAACAUGAAUUUAACAAAUAAUAAAUCAAUGACAGAAAGGGAAGUGAAAUGGGAGAUCCAAAAGGGGCUAGAAGAUUCAAAGACAAAAACCCAAAUGUGUAAAGCAAGUAGCAGAGCUGCAGAUGCGAAAAUCCAGAUGCGAAAAUCAUAAAAGCAAAUAAUUUGACUUGGACACAAUAUCAACGUAAAAGAGAUAGAGCACCUGUAGAUUUCUCCAAUGAACUCUCUGUUGAUUGUUGUCUAUUCUGCAGGAGAUACCGACAGAAGUAAAUCUCUUGGUUGUUGUCUAUUCUGCAAGAAAUUAGGGCAAAAACUCUAGCUUUCCUUUUGCUUUCCCUGAGUCAGUGAUCGUUCAAUAAAGUUAAUAUAUACACCGGUCUCACCCGGGUUAGCCUGGGUCGAACGGGUCACGGGUCGACCCACCGGGUCGACCGGGUUUGACCGGUUUUUUUCUUAGGCCGGUCUUUUGUCUUACCCGGAUCGGUCCAGGUCCCGGGUCGGCCAGGUCCCAGGUCGACCCGCCGGGCCGGUCCGAGUUUUAUAACACUGAUUAGGACUACAGAAUAUGUCUUGAGAUUUACUACUGUCCUUAUUUUUGUUAAUUCUAAUUGCUUAUUUUCAAAUAUUAAUUAUUUAGACUACAUUUGUCCUUCGAGCAUCUAAUUUAUUUAUUUUCUUUCAUAGUAAUCGAUGAAAUUACUAUCUAAAUAUUUGAGUUUAACUUUCAUUUAUAUGGUUAUUAUUAGAUAUCAUUAUCCAACAAAAUCAACAACCCUGAGGGGUAGCUUAACUAGUCAGGUCAUGAGUUUGCUCCUAAUGGUCACGGGUUCGAGUCCCCUCAGGGCCACUGGAGGCUUACAUGAUCAUUAACUUUAGGGCCCGUGGGAUUAGUCGAGGUACACGCAAGCUAACCCGAACAUUUAUGUUAAUAAAAAAAAAAGAAAGUACAUCUCUCUUCCGUGUCUCAUAAAUUUAAAUUAUUAAAUGACUAAUCCUAAAUUGAAUCAAAGUUUUAUUUAUCAUUUCAAUAAUUUUUUUUGUCAUUGUUAGUCUUGAAUGAUUAAAUAUAGUAUAUUAUUUUAAUAUAUCUUUUUUUUUAAUUCAUUUAAAUAAUGCUGCUGAGAAGGAGCACUCAAAAUAGAUGAUUAUGGGUUUCCAUAUGUAAACCAUACAAGAUACAUAUCACAAAGGUGAUGAUCUGAAAAGUCUGCAGUCUGCUCAUAGUGUGUAGACGACCCAAAAAGACAAGCCAUAAGAUGAAGGAGUGUCGUGGGACAUAUUUUGAAAACUAGAGAAGAUGGUGCAUAGUAUUCUUGGGCCUGGUAUCUCGAAGUGCCUCCCAAGCUGAAUCAAUAGUGAACCUCUUCAAAGAAUGACCUCUCCAAACAUAGUGAUCUGAAGAGUUAAUUGGGCAUGGAAUCUAAUGCAGUCCCAAAUUUGUUAGAGGUCCUAACUAUCUAAAGGAAAGUCCCAACCACCAUCCUUAAUAAUGUAUGCAUCCUUUGCAUCCCAAGAUAAUCCAGUAGAUGAUAAAGUCUUGAAAGGCAAAAAGUCACAAAAACAUUGUCCAUAUGACAAAUAAUAAUCUAGCCAUAGAGAAGUUAGAGAGCCAUCACCAAUGCAAGAUACAAACAUACCUCUACACCAAUCUUGACUAUGAAAAAUCUUUCGCCAUAACCAAAAAGAUACCAAAGGUAGCCUAUAAAAAAUGAUCUCCCUCUGAGCAAUACAGAAUGCACCUAAGCUAACCAAACUGAGGAUCUGUUUGAAAGUAGCCUCCAAAUAUGCUUGAGAAUAGCUGCUCUAUUUCAAGUCUUAACCCUUUUAAUCCCAAGUCCACCCUCCUGCAGAGGAUAGAAAACUAAAGCCCAAGCCGCUUUUACCCCUAAAAGGGAAGUAGAUGAACUGUUCUAGAGAAAGGCAAUUAACAUGCCCUCAAUCUCCUAAUAAUAGAACAAGAAAGGAUAAACAUAGUAGACCAAUAUUCCUGGGAUGGAAAAGAGAACAUAUUUGAUCAGUUGCAAACGACCAACAUAUGUAAGAGAUGUCGAGGUCUAUAACCUGAUCUUCGAGAGAAUCCGCUCAACCAAAGCCAUGCAGUCACUAUGUUUUAACUGGGUAGUAAUAAAAGGAACCCCCAAGUAUCUGAUCGGCAAGGAGCCCAACCUGAAACCUAAGAGAUCCAAACGAGAUGCUUUCAAAUCAUCAUCUAUACUUGAUAUGAAAACAUGGCUCUUCUUUAGGUUGUUCAUCAGCCUUGAUAACACAACAAAGUCAUCCAGAGCCCUCCUCACAACACCCACUGAAUCUGUGUUUGCCUAACAGAAUAUCAUAAGGUCAUCAACAAAGCAUAAAUGAGUAAUACUCUCGUGUUGACACCUCAAGUGAUAGUGGUAUCUCUAGUUCUGGGUAGCCUUUCUAAGAAUACCACCAAGACUUUCAUAGCCAGCACAAAGAAAGUCAACUACGCGUUCGCUUUGGUUGCGAGACAGCUUGAGGGCAUACAACAUGUGCCAAAGAUGACUAAACUAUCACAAUUCUCUAGGUUAUUCAAAGACAAAUCCACUUUAAAAGUCAAUGAAAACAUCAAACAAGAUUGGAAGCUUCUGGUAUUGAUAAAAAAAUAAAUUAGAUGGUUUGAGAGAUCCAGUCACUAGUGAAAAAUACCCGAGGUGGAUAAAUCUAUCAUUGGUGACUUUCUUCACGAAUCUCGAAUUCAAAAUGGAAACUUCACAAGCUGCUGAACUAAAUAAGAGAGAAAAAAAUUAACAAUGAGGACGAGCUGAGAGAACAACUGGAAAAGCUCUAGGUAGAAUUGGGCACCAAUAAAGCCCUCAGGAUCUCCCUCGAGGAAUAACUCUUCACUGAAGAGAAACUGAGGAAGUUUGUCGAGUAACAAUUGAUAGAAAAAGACAAAAUAGUCAUGUCUUUAGAGAAGCAGCUGAGAGAGGGAAAAGUGGCUAGCAACCGAGUUGAGAAAGAGCGAGGAGAAUUGGGAAAAAGUUGGAUGCAAAACAACACCGAAUUUAAGACAUUGAAAGCCAAUUUCAAUGAUUGCCAAGAAAGAGCUGAUAUGUCUUCAAGGGUCCAAACAGAAUUAGAAAGCCGGAUUGAACAAUAUGAGCAGUUAUACAAAGAACAUGUGAUGCUUGAAAGUGAGUUGGCUGAAGAAAAAGCCAAAGAAAAAGUUGUUGGGAAUUCCAAGAUUGAUAAGAUCAACUUGUUAAAAAGAGCUUGAUAACGAAAAAUCAGGGCAAAACAUUUAGAGGAGAAAAAUAGGUUGUUGGAGCACCAUAAUCAGAUGAUUGAUACCAAGAAUAAUCAACUGGAUAGGAGCAACAUGUUGCUCUUAGAAAAGAUGAGUAACAUGGAUGAGCAUAUUGAUUGAGCUUUUAUCCAUGCUCGAAGAAUUCAUCUCAAUGCUCAACAAGUUGGGAGAGUUCUUCACUGAUAUCAACCAAGUAUAGUUGAAAAUGGUGCUUUUCUUAGGAAUAUAGGAAACAAAAGCUUUGUUUUCCCCCUGUAGAUGAUGAUGAAUGAACUGAUCCUCAAAUGUAAAAACUUUCACUGAACAUUAAUGAAAAGGGCUUGGACCUAAUCUUCUCAUCAUCAUUUUGUAUUGAUGAGUAUAAAUAUUAGGAAUUGGCUCAAAUCAAAUUGCCUCGAUAAUUAUAAAAGGAUCAGAAAUCUUACCCAAAUGAUGACAUAUAUCAGUCCAGAAAUUUGGCUAAUCCACAUCCAAACAUGUAUCAUCAUGCAUAAUUAUACAUUCAUAUGCAAUUGUGUUUAUGAAUUUCAAAAUGUGCCCAAUAGGUAUUUGAAAUAUAGGUCCCCCUACUAAAAUCUAUAAUACCAGGCUUCGUAAAAGGAUGUAAAAUGAAGAAAGGGUUGACUACCAAAAAGAGCUGGAUGAUGUUAAGAAUAACAUGGCUCGGGUGACUAGUUUACUCGACCAACUCUUGCGAGCAUAGUUAGGGGAAGGGACAUCCAGUCAUCAUUUGAAUUUGUUAUCGCCGUUAGCAGCUCUAGUUAUCAUUGACCAACAAAACUUGGAAACAAAUCCUACCACUAGACCACAAGGAAUAACAAGAAAUUCAAUGACUUACCCAAUUAUGCCUGCUCAAGUACCGACCAUAAUAGAUCUAACUAUGAGGGAAUUCCAUGGGGUUAAAUCUUUUGGUGACCCUAAACAAGAUAAGUGGGUUGCUUGGGAGGAGAGGUUUAGAGUUGUUAAGGGAUUUGAUGUCUGUGACUUGGUUAGAGCAGUUGAGAUAUGCCUAGUACUAAAUGUAAUGAUACCUAAAGAGUUUAGAGUACCAGAAUUUGUCAAGUACACAGAGUUAGAAUGCCCUAAUACAUACCUAAGGUCAUAUUAUAAUAAAAUGAUGGAGGUCAUAUAUAAUGACAAGUUGCUCAUCCAUUUCUUCCAAGACAGCUUGACUGGUUUCGUCUUAAAUUGGUAUAUGACUUUAGAUAAUACAAGGCAAUACAAAUUCAAUAUUGAUAUCAUUUUAGACUGGACAAGUUUAAUAGUGAUGGAGAAGGGCAAUAAAGAAAUAGUGAGGGGGUAUGCUUAUAGAUGGAAAAACAAGGCAAUGCAUGUAUAAUUGUCUUUGUUAGAAAAAGAAAUGGUGACUUUAGUCGCCAAUACUUUCAAAUCUCCAUACUAUGAGUACCUGAUGGGUAGCUUUACCCAACACUUUUAUGAUGUCAUGGUUAUUAUUGGGAGAAUAAAGUAAGGGAUAAGAGCCGACAGAAUAUCAGAACCCACUAAGAAGGAAGGGUUUACUAGGAGGAAAAAAGAUGUUGAGGUAAGCAAUAUAGAAGAAGGGUACAUGGGUAAAAAGGAUUUCCAAACCCAAAGCUAUCACAUCCAAACCUAUUAAGCCUUGUCUCUUAAAGUACACAAUAUCAGCUUUGCCAAGUCUUUUAUAGUAAAUCAGCCUACCAACCCAUAAAAAAACCAAACUGAAAACAACCCAAAAAGAACAUACCAAAGAAACCAAGAACAACUCCCACCUUUACCAAUACCUCUAGGGAAAAUGUAUGCAAAACGGUUAAGUAUAGGUCAUGUGACCCCUCUUCCUUUUCCACCAUUUAAACCUCCCUUUCCAAGUUGGUAUAAGUCAGAAUUGACCUAUCACUACCAUGCUAGAAAUCUUAGCCACAUCAUACACUUGCUCAGCAUUUAAGAAGAAGCUCUUGCAAUUAUUCAAGGCAGGGUGAAUAACUUUUAAAGAUACCCCAACAUCAAUUUCAACCCUUUACCCAAUCAUGCUUCUAGUAGUGGAGGAGUAAACAUUGUGGAGUAUGAAGGGAAGAAAAAGCAAGUUUUAAGGGUAAACAUGGAUAAGCUAUAAGACAUGUUGUUGUAAGCCGAGUAUUUUCCAGUAAAAAAUGGAUCAGGUCCAAAAAAGGAUGAUGGUUUUGGUAGGUUCCACAAAGCGAUGGGACAUAACAUUGAGGGAUGUGAGGAGUUUUAGCAGAAGGUGAUAUAAUUGAUAACUUUUGAUCCUUUACAAAUAAAGAAGGAGGAAGAGGAUGAUGUGUGGGCAUGAUAAGUUUAUUAGGGAAGAAAGUAGAAGUGUGUAGGAUCCACCGUACUGAGAGUGGUCCACUAAAACUUGUUUUGACAAGAGCUACCUUUUGAGGAAAAGUUGUUGACCAUACACAUUUUUUAUUCUUCUGAUUCUAGAAAAACCAAAGCAAACACCCAUCAAGAUGGAUUGAAACUCCUUUAAAUAUUGUUUUUUAUUGCUUAAAUCUCUUUCAAAAAAACUUUGUAAUGGCUAUAAAGUGAAGAAAAUGGUUUUUAUGAUGGUUUUUUUAGUGGUUUGAUGAAAAAUUUGGGUCUAAUGUAUGGUGUACAUGGUAGAAUAAGUGAAGGGUAGUUUAUGUUCUUAUAUAAGCCUUGGCUCAUUAAUGAAGCUCAAUUAUCUUUAGCUUCUUGUGCCACUAGAACAUUUAAUGGCCUUAAACUGCCGAUUAAUUACUUUAUUGGAUUGAUUAAGUCAUCUCUUUAGGUCUAGGUAUAUGAUAUGACCCAUCACUUUAUUGGACUAAAAAAGGAUGGGUCAAACCUUAAGAAGUCUAAUUGACUUAACUACACCAUAACAUACUAGUCUUUAGAUUAAACAUAAGGUUUCCACAUAACCCAAUACGACAACACACUCGAGUAGAGGAGCAAACCAACUCCAAAACACAAGUUAGAAUAGGAAGGGCGUAACCCAAAAUUAUUCUAUCCACUCUCUCUAUAGUUGAUAUCAAGCGUUAAAUGCUCUCAUGUCCUCCUAUUAUAAUUAGGCUCAUAGAUUGGUGUUAGGGAUGCCCAUAGCCAGUGGAUAACCCAUAUGAUAUCAUUUCUUUACUCAAUAGUGAAUCACCAACCAUAAGAAUGUUAUCCUAAGUAAUUGCAACUAAUGUAUGUUUCAUAUUAUUUUCCCCUCACUUUAUCCUUAAUUUCAUGCAAGUUGGCAUGAUUUAUGGCUAUAUAAAUAUCUAUGAAUCACCAGGUAAGGCAAGUUCCAAUAACAUAUUUCUUAGUGCAUAUUUUUCCUCUUCGUAACUACAUGUCAUUACGACCCUGUUUGGGGUUGCGUUUGCACUAUAAUUUUAGUAAAUUUUGAAAUUUCUUUCUUCAAAUUAAUUUUUGUUAUGUAUUUUUAAAUCGUUUUGAUGUGCUGGUGUCAAAAAUAAAUUAAAAACAAAUACAAAAAUAUAUUAUUUUAAUGAAUUUCCAAACGAAAAACAAUUUAAAAAGCAACCUCAACCACACUUUCACAUCUCCUUUAAAUUUAGCAAACAUAUAUACUACACGAACUUGAAAGGCUUUAUUCCUUUUAUAUUUGUGAUAACUUAAGUAUUUGAGGAUCUUUUACGCUAAAAAGUAUUUGUCUUCGGGUAUUCAUGAUUUCCAAUGUUUUUCAACAAUCUACUUCUAAAUUUUCAGCCCAUUUAUUAAUCUUGAAAAGGUCUUAAUCUUGUGUGGUUUUCCUCACCCUCGUAAAAAAGAAAGUAAAUUAACAUGUCCUUUGCUCUUAUAUUUACACCUUAAUAAACACGAAUCCAUCCUAUGUCUUCCUCGUAAAAAGAACAAUGCUAAAUAAAUUACAAAGUAUUGAUUUCUUGGAGAGAAAAAUAUGGUACCUGCAUAAUUAAUGCCGAAAACAUGUGAAUAAAUUAGAAAGAAAGGAUUUUAUAUUAGCCAUAGUUUCAUAUAAAAAUGUGAAUAGUUUUGUCUUUAUUAAAUUUCCGGAAGUAUAUUCAAAAUAAUCAUCAAGUAAGUGGCCUUUGUUUCAUAACCUAAAGCACCGGUCUUCUUAUCAACAGCAGAAGCAAUCCUUUUUUUUUUUUUUCUUUUUUUUUCUAUUUAUAGGCAAAAUAGUACAAGGAACGCCUAUGAAGAGGCAGCAGGAAAUUGUAGCUAAAGGAGAUUAAAAACAAAUCACACUAUAUUACUAUCAAAACUCAUGCCACUGCUUCUGAUGAAGUACUGCUUCUAAAGCGCAAGACUUCAUCAGAAGCAGAUACCAAGACCAAUCAACUAGAGAAAAUUCAAUCCUAUGGGAGCAUCUUGGGUUUUCCUUUAUGAUGGGUAUCGUAUGUCCACAGCGUUACAACUGGAGUUUUGCUAGCUCCGCAUCAAACAACUCAUCACGUCGGUAUUAUGUAUUCAUCCUCGCCGGGCCAAGGCAAAAGUGUCGUCUUCAUGAUACCGAUUUCUCUUAUAAGGUAUGGAAAAUAUCGGCAUCAAUUCCAUCUCCAUCUCCAUCUCCAUCUUUCCUUGCAUCAAAUUUUUUGUUUGAUCUUUUGAGCCAGCAGUUUGGACCCAAUGAUGUAAGGGUAAAUAAUGAUUCAUGGUCAUCAGCAUGUGUAUGGGAUUUGGUAUUCAGACUUCUUAUGUUUACUCGUAUCCUCGGACGAAUCUUGAUGUCUUGUCGAUGCAGUCUGGCAACAGGAAGUCUAUGGGUUUUGGCUGUAAAUGGCGCCGAGAGAGCCCUACCAUCAAAGGCAAUAUCGUCUUCAGUUUCAUUAUCGUUUGUCCUGUUUACCUUUUUUAUUACGGACGAAAUGGUUUGACCUUCGAUUCCGGAUCAUUCUUUCUUGUUAGAAAUUUGUCUUAGAAAACUUGGCGUUAAGAAAUUAAAAGUAGAGUACACUUAUUUUUAAAUUUAAGAUGAUUGAAAAUUAUUUUUCUGACAAAAGUAUUUUUACAUAAAAUAUUAACUUGUCUAAAAUAAAUUAUGAAUAAAUAAUAAAUUAAUUUUAAAUAACUCUUAAUUAACAUAUUUUUUUAAAAAUUAAAAGCACUCAAUCUCACAUUGGGCACAAAGAACACCAAAGUUUUUAGAUGGGAAAUGCCCUAAUCUAAGUGGGCUUAGGGCAUAAUUCACACGCGCUCGCUAAGCUUGACUCGACAUCGAGCUCAAGCUUGGGGCUUGGGCUUGUUAUAAAAUAAUUUUUUGACCCAUAAAAAUUUAAUUUUUGCCAACCCUUAAAUAAAUAAUUUGAAUAGUUUAUUUUCAAAAAUAAAAAUAUAUGGUUUUUAAGGAAAAAAACUGUUCGGUUUUUUAUUCUUUUUAUGGUAGGUAAUUUAGGUAAAAUAGCAAGAAGUAAUUUUGGUAAUUAUUAGAGUUAAUUCCAUAUUAGUUUUUGUUCUAAAAAUCGGUAUAAUAAGGAGUUGAAGAAGAGAUGUUUUGUAUAACUUGCAAUAGUUUUUUUUUCUUUUUCUCCAUAGUUUUUUCAUCUUCCUUAACAUGAUCUUGCCUUGUUUUUACUUUAUUCUAGAGCUUAGGUUCUAGUACUUUAAGAGUGAUUCAGGGUCUUCUUAUUUUUUUUACACUAUCAGAAAAUCAAUGAAUACAAAUAGAAACACCAACGGAAAAAAUACAUCAGUAUUUUGUGGUGAUAUUUACCGAUCAAAUUUUUUCAAGUGCUAACUCUGUUGAUAAAUACUGACGGAAAUAUAUCAUCGGUAUAUACCGAGGGAAUCCCAGUUAGAAUAAAAGGAAUUAAAAAAACCAAACAGUACGAUAAUGUGUAAGUUUUUAUAGAUGCUUUUACCGAUGGAAUUACAGUUGAAUUCAAACAGACAAGUCGUACAGUGACGUGUCACUUAUACCGAUAUAAAUGUCGACGGAUUGAUAGACGAAAUAAUUUUAUCGGUAAAUCCAUCGGUAAUAUUUAAUAUAUGACUUGACGCUUGACCCAGCUCUCCCCCUCCCCUAUUUCUCUUUUUUUCAAAGCAGCCCCCCCACCAUAUCCCCUCUCAUCUCAAUACAACUCAUUCUUCCGUAAUUUUUCAGUUACAACAACACUCUAUUUGACAGCAUUCGUGUUCCGGUUGAAAUUUUAUUGGGGAUUUUUCAUCUUAAGUAAGCAAAUCUAUCCUUUUUUAUUGCAUAUUUUUGUAGUAUAUGUAUUUUGUUUGAAUGUUUACUUGUUUUAUUAUUUUUUCUCAAACAAACUUGUUAUAUGGAUUUAUGAAUUUGUACAUGUUAUGGUUUAUUUUAGGUUCUGUAAAAUUAUAUUUGUUUGCAAAUUGUUGAAACUUAUAUCAAAUUAUCGACUUAGGUGUGUUGUAAUAAAAUAACUAAUGACUUGUUUAACGACUCUAUUUUAUAUUUUUUUAAUUUUAUUGUCGAGUUGUAAUUUUUGUUAACGUGUACAAAUUUGUAUCUACAUAGAUAAUUUAUAAUGAAUUAAGAGAAGUAUUAAAGUAGGUUGAAUAAUCUUGAGUUAAACCAAUAUUUUUGCAAAUUUAUUUAGUUAACAUAGUUAAUUAAUACAUGUUGUCAUCAUUAUUUGAUAUAAGUUCGAUGGACGUCAUGGAUGAUCGUUCAUGAAUGUAUCGAGAUUCACCCCAAGGAUUGCGGAGGAUGGAUUAUUUUAAUGGGUUUUAGGGUUUUAUUAAUUAUGUAACAUCUAAUAUGAGAAAUAUUAGUGGAGGCAGUAUUAGGUGUUCAUGCAAGAGGUGUAAAAAUAAAAAGUUUCUCGAUUCAGAUGAUGUAAUGAUACAUCUUCUACACAAAGGGUUAAUGGAGGAAUACUUGUGUUGGUAUGCACACGAAGAACCAUUUGUUCCUCACGAGACCAUGGUAGAUAGGAUGGUUGAGUCAACUUCUAGUGCUAGCAACGUGCAUGGAGUUUUAAAUGACAACAACAAUCCUUUUUAAGACUAUGGUUAUGGAAACGAUUAUAAUGAAUCAAGGUCAUGAUGGUUAAUGUCCAAUUGUAGAUGAAAAACCUAAUGCAGACAUUGCCAGAUUUUUUUGAUCUUUUGAAAGAUUCUGACGAGCCAUUAUGGGAUGGCUGCACAAAUCACUGUAAAUUAUCGGUGUUGCACACGUGUUUACCAUAAAAUUGGAUUAUCGGUUGAUAAGGCAGGUUAUGACAGAAUUGUCAAAUGUGCGAGAAGUAUUUUACCUGAAGGGAAGAGGCCAAAAGAAAAUUUCUAUGCUGCUAAGUCUAUGAUGAAACCCCUUGGUCUAGGAUACCAGAAAAUUAACAUGUGUCCAAACUUUUGCAUGCUAUACUACCUUGAAAGUACUGAGCUAACCAAGUGCAGGACAUGUGGGCAUUCCCGUUAUAAACCCAGAACUAGUAGGGGAAAGAUUCUUGUUGCACAAAAAAAACUUAGAUACUUGUCAAUCACAUCAAGAUUACAGAGGUUAUUCAUGUCACUAAAUACUGCUGAGCACAUGACAUGACACCAAUCACAUAAUACGAUGGAUGAAGUGAUGACACACCUUUCCAAUGAUGAAGCAUGGAAACACUUUAAUAAUGUGCAUCUUUACUUUUCAGUUGAAUCAAGGAAUGUGCGUUUUGAGUUAGGUAUAGACAGAAUCAAUCCAUCCGAAUCAUUUGCUACUCCUUUUUCUUGUUGACCGGUUAUACUCACGAUUUACAACUUGCCACGAGGGAUAUGUAUGAGGUAGGAGUUCAUGUUUUUAUCUAUAUUCAUACUUGCCACCAGGAAUAUAGAUUUUUUGUCUUCAACUAUUGAUUGAUGAGUUGACGUAGUUGUGGUCCUUCGGGGCUUUGAGUUAUGAUGUAUCGAUAAAACAAAAUUUUCUUAUGAAGGCAGCUUUAAUGUGGACUAUCAAUGAUUUUCCAGCUUAUGGAAUGGUUUCUGGUUCGAGCACGUAUGGAAAACUAGCAUGUCCAUACUGCACAAAAAAUUACUAGGCAUUCACGCUAACAAACAACGAUAAAAUGUCUUUUUUUGACUGCCACCGAUGUUUUUUUGCCAACGGAUCACAGGUAUAGAAAGAACAGAAAGGAUUUUAUUAUUGACAGAGUUGAAAAGGAUGUUCCACCCCCGUGUGUUUCUGGUGAAGAAUUAUAUGACGUGGUGUCAGAGUACGGUGAUAUUGUGUUUGGUUUUCAAUCCUGUAAGCAGAAGUUUUCGAGUUUUGGUUUGACCUACAAUUGGGUAAAACAAAGUAUUUUAUAGAAGCUUUUUUAUUAAAAGACCAAUCUCCUCCGCCACAACCUUGAUGUCAUGCACAUAGAAAAGAACGUGUUUGAGAAUAUUUUCAAUACGGUCAUGGACGUGAAGGGGAAGACAAAGGAUAACAUCAAGGCUAUAUUGAAUAUAGCUUUGUUAUGUAACCGUAAAAAUAUGUAGUUGGUUUAUGCUGGGUCAUGGGUUGUAAGACCCAAAGCAAGCUUCGCUUUAGACAAGAAUACACAACUAUUAGUCUAUCAAUGGCUUAAGAGUUUGUGUUUUCCCGAUGGACAUGCCUCGAACAUAUCAAAGUUUGUUAAUUUAGAGGAUUGCAAAUUGUAUGGAAUUAAGAGCCAUGACUACCACGUGUUUAUGCAAACAUUAAUUCCAUUAGCUUAUCGUAUUUUAUUGUCAAAUGGGAUAUGAGAUGCACUCACGGAGAUCAAUUAUUUCUUUAGAGAUAUAUGUUCCAACAAGUUGCAGGCACAACACAUUGAGAAGCUUGAAAUGAAUAUCGUCUAGACAAUAUGUAAACUUGAGAUGAUAUUCCCUCCAUCAUUUUUUGACUCGAUGGAGCAUCUACCCAUACAUUUACCAUAUAAGGAAAAAAUUGGAGGCUUAAUUCAGUAUAGAUAGAUGUAUCCAUUUGAGAGGUUAGAGAUUACACAUGCAAUGCAAUUAAAAAAGUAUUUUCAUUGUUUUUGUUAAUUGAAAACAUUCGUUUAAUUCCAUGCAAGUACCUUUUUAACCUUUAAAAAAAGGUUAAAAACAAAGUGUAUGUUGAAAUUUCAAUAUGUGAGGCCUAUAUUGUUGAUGAGAUCUCAAAAUUUAUCUCCUACUAUUUUGAGCCUCAUUUAAGAACAAGAAUCAAUCACGUUUCAAGGUAUGAUGAUGGUGGUGAAGUGCCUUUAAGUGGGAACUUGUCAAUAUUCUCAAAUUCUGAACGACCCGCACUAAAAAGUGUUGUUAGGGGAAGAUAUUUAUCUGAAAUAGAAUUCAGAUAAAUAUAUAAUUAUAUGCUAUUUAACUACGAUGAACUGAGACCUUUUAUUCAAUAAGUAGAAUACUCAACUUUGUUAUUAAUAGACUAUUUAUCUCUUGUAAUAUCACAAACUUAUACAUUGUUAAAUACCUCGUAGGCAACAUCGUUAAUAUUUACUGUCUAAUAACUCACAAUAGAUUGAAUCUCAAAUCUUUCGAUUACAAGAUGAAUAAUUUACCACGUGGUUCAAAAAACAUGUAAGUACUAUCACAAACUCAUUAUCAAUCAUGAUACUUAAUUUCGUUAUAAAAUUCUCGUUCACUAUUCACUGUUGUACUUGAUGUACCACGUUUAUAAAUUGGAAGGGAAUGCUAGUGCUACAUUGUCUUUACUAAGUUUAGGUCUUGAAAGAUAGGUGAAGUGCUACAACAUGUAUUUUGUCAAUUGAUACGUGUUUUAUAUUAAAGAAUAUAGGCAGGGUAGAAAUACAUAUGACAAUGAGAUUUAUGUUAAGAGAUCGACUUUUAGUGAGUUUGAAGUUGACUAUUAUAAGAAAUUAAAAGAGAUAAUUGAAUUGCAAUAUCAUAGCAAGCAUAAUAGAGUAUUUUUAUUCAAAUGUUAUUGAUAUGACACCGCUGACUAAGGAAUCAGAGUAAAUCCCCAUCAUGGUUUAGUCGAAAUUAACUCAAAAGCUAGACUCCGCAAUGUCAACAAUUUCUUUGUUUUUGCUAAGCAAUGUUAGUAAGUUUAUUACACAUACACCCCUUCUUCAGAAAAGAUUAUUCAAGAGUUGAUUGAUUAUCCGUAUUGAAAACCAAACUCAGGGGUCGUGUCGAGGUUGUUUAAGAUGAGAACGAUGACUCAAAUAUGGGAGAUGAUGUUUUUCAAGUUAGUGAGUUAGUUGAACUAUAUCGAGUUGCUCUAUCGAUUGACUUAUAAGAAAAUUUAAAUUUUCACGUCUUCAAUAAUAUUUUUGUUAAUAUUGACGUUGAGGAGUUAAAUGUUGUUCUCAGCUCCAACGGACAAGCACAAGUCCAUGAAGAUGAUGGUAACAAUGAUAUCAACGUAGAAGAUUAUGAUGGAGCUGGCGACGAGUCAAUUAAAGAAGAAGAAGACAAUUCUGACUAAUUAUCAAAACAUGGAACUGUAAUGCCAUAAAUUAUAAUAUAAUAUUUAUUGAUGAAAUUAUCUACAAAGAAGUAUUUAUUUUAUUAUUGUUAUGUAAACUCGUAUUAUUGUGUUGUGCGUGCAACUUUCAAUUUAAGUAUUUGCAGGAUGGAUAUAUAGGAAAUACAAAUAUAAUCUGGCAUCAGACACUGUUUAACUUGGAUAUACAUUAAAACAAUAUUUUUUAUUUUUAAAAAAUUAUUUUUGAUAUCAAUAAAUCAAAAUAUAUAAAAAAAAUUUAAAACUUUUUUUUUUCAAAACUUGCCCAAAUUUCAUUUGGAACACAAUAAGAAACGAGAGGCUACCAUCAAAUGCAAUAUCGUAUUCAGCUUCAUUAUCGUUUGUCCAUUCCACCACGAACCAAAUGGUUUGCCCUCCGAUUCAGGGUGAUGCAUCUUUCAGUCAGCAUUAAGGCUCGGUAAUUAUAUUUCCUAUGAUUAAGAAACUUUUGGAUCUAUUCCCACUCCAUAAAGAUUUUAUUGUUAUUAAACUUCUUCAAUCUUUAUAUUUUCUCUUGAAGUGAAAGCUAAGGAUAUCUACAAAUAAAAGAAAUUCCGAACCUAACAAAAAAUUGAAGUGUACAUUAAACUUAUAAUUGAAUUUGGCCUUGUUGCUUAAAUUCUGAUUCUUUAUAUAUGAUUUUAUUGAUAUUUUAUUGCAAAAUAGAUUAUUACAUCUCAUCAUUUUAUAUAUCAUCAUUAAUUCUUUUUAUUAAAAAGAAUAUUUUACGGCCAAUUUAUUUCAUGACAAUGAAUGAAUUUAUUUAACAUAUUAACGAUUUUUACUUUAUUGAAAAUAUAUUUUAAUAAAAAAAUUUAAUAGAUAGUUAUGAUGUUAUAUUAUUAUGAAAUAUAAAUAUAAAUAAAAAAACUCAAAGAAGGUAAGUUUUAUCACUCAACAAAUUUAAAAUGGAUAAAAAUAACAAUUGGAGUGUGAAUAGCUAGUGCUUUCAUUCUUUUUAUGAGAAUUAUGGUGUACUUUGAAUUGGUUUCAAAAUCUAAUGUAGAAACUCCCUUCAUACUAUGAAAUAAUUUGUCUUUGUCAAUUGAAUAUAAAAUUAAAAAAUAGCAAAAGAUAUUACCUUUGGAAACUAAGAGGAUAAUCUUUAGAGAAGUCCCCCUUCCCUCUCAUCAAAUUAUAUUAAAAAAUUAUGGAAUCAAAUUUUAAUAUCUUUUAUAGAAUUUGAUAGGGAAUUAGGGCCCAUCUUCAAGAUAGAGAUUAAAGAGAAAAUCAUUCUUAAAAAAUGAAUAUCUCCACUUUAGAAAUAAGUGUUUUGAUUUAUAUCUCCUCUUGAUAUCUAUUUUUCUCUGUAAAAUAAAAAUUAGUAUUCAUUAGUUACUACUGAAGUAACACAUGAAAUAUUUUAGUGAAUUAGAUCAAUUAAUCUAAAUUUCUAUAUUUAAAUAUUGCACUUGACCCGAUUGCAAUUGUGAUUUGAUUUCAGUAUAAUUGACGAAACCCAAAUGUGCUCAUUAAUUGUUAACAUCGAAAGUUUAAAAAAGUUGAAUGUGUUAAAAUCACUCGAAACCUAUAUAAAUAGAUACAUAUGAUUAAAAUGAAAAAACGAAGAGACACAAAAUAUUUAUAAUUCUUCCAAAUAAGUUUUAUUUAAUUCAACAAUUUGUUUAACAAUACUAAUGAUGUUGUUGAGUAGGAUUAUAGUUGAUAAUAAUAAAUAAUUGAUGAAAUCUUCAUGUUAAAACAAUACUAAUGACGAGAGGGAAGAUUGAAAAACAGAGAGGAAUUGUUUUGAGAUAUAGAGACGAGAAAAGAGAGAAAAUAGAGUAGAAGAGAGAAGAACCUCCACCGUCUGCCUUCUUCAAUAUUGCCGCCAUGAGAACCGCCUUGAGCCACUGUCGACAGCAGCUCUGUAAACCCCCGGUUAUAAUUUUUCUGGGUAUUUAAAAGAUGAGAAAUUUAACCAAUAGUAAAAGGGGUUAAAUUAAAUUAAAGAAACCUAAAUCAAGAUAAAAAUAGUGAAAUUAAUGAAAUGAAAAGUCAAUAUAGUACUAAAUUAUUGAAAAGAAAAACAUUUGUGAGGACAAAAUGAAUAUGUAAAAUCAAGAGAGGUCAAUAUUCAAAUAACAGAAGGUUGGGAGUUUAUGUACAAAUGAUAAAAAGGGGUGGGGAUAAAUGUGCAAUUAACAAGAUGUUAGAACUAUAAAUAUCAUUCUAUUUUCUCUCUUGGAGGAACUGACAAGAGUAAGAGAGAGUUUAGAGAGAGGCUGGACAGAAGACAUAUUGAUGGCAGAACAUCCGACAGCUAUAACUCCACCUUCCACCGUUGGAUCAGAACGAUAUUCAGAUAUAUUAUUCUCAUCCAUGUCAUGUACAUUUUCACUAUAGGGAUUUUCUAUAUGAGUCUCCGGUUGAGAGAUAUCGAGGGGGGAAAUAUCUGGGAAAAUACACUUCUGGACAAUCUUCUUUGCUGUCUGUUUUCUCCUUCGGCCACUGUUGGAUUAGGCUAUAAUUUGGAUAUGUUGUUCUUCCUGAUUCUGUCUAGACUCUGAACGGUGGAGAUCUGAAACAAACAUUCGGUAUAGAAGUUGUGCAUCUCACACAGUAGGUCUGCAAGUUUGAAGUCAGUUCGGUUAAACCCAUAUUUCUAGAAAUCGCACCAUUUGAUGAAGUUAAUAUUUGGAUAUGUUAUACUCAUAAUAAUGCAUUAUAACUUGACAGUAUGGAUUGUUUGGAAUAUUAUUCGUUUGUUAUUUAUGGUUGAUUGAAACUGUUUUCAAGGAUUGUGUUUAGAAGAAUAUUGUUCGGAAAGUUUGUAAAAUCGAUAAGAAUGUUUUAUUUUGAUGUUAAGAGGGAAGAUUGAAAUAAAUAAGGUAAAUUGGCUCUUAAAAAGAUAUUUUUUUGACACUCUUAAAUGAUAUGUGAUAUGGCCAGGGGUUGAGAUAAAAGAGAAAAAGUUAAAUUAUGGAUGUUGUGUGUAAAUGGAAAGGUUGAUGAAUCUUGACAGAUUCGUCUCCUGACUUUUAAAGAGAAUUUGAGUAGGAGGAUGAGAGAAUUAGGAUCAAGUUUCUUCAUAGUAAUUGUAGUUUUGGAUGUUAGCUAACUAAGAAAAAUUGGUCUUGCUCAAUAUGGAGCUGUAGAACCCUAGCUAUGGGUCAUCAACUGAGAUUGGGUCCUGAUAGACCCUGUAGGGUAGUGUUUGUUGAUGAGCAAUUUUGACUAUUUCAGAGGCAGAACUGGGUUCUCCUUACUCAGAGAACUUGUAGCCUCGUGUAUUAGCUUUCCAACGAGACUAAUCUCGCUUGAAACAGAGUUCUAUAACUUUAGAUAUAGUUAAAAAUAUGAUGAGUGUUCAGACAAUGACAGUUGGACAAUAACAGUUCAAUAUCUAGACAGUAACAGUUAGAUAGUAACAAUUGGAAAUUUGACAGUAACAGUUCAAAGUUAGACAGUAAUAAUAAACUUUGACGUGAAUACUAUAUAAAAGAAUUGAGUCAUACGAACACUUGCACAUUGAGAUACUAACUCUAAAAAUAUACAUGAUAUAUGUAUGUAUGUUAUUAUGAGGAAAUGAACAUGCAUAAAAAGUAACAUAUGAGUAAUGGAUGAUUAUGGAUUCUCUGUAAUAUUGGACUGAAGGAAUGAUAACUAUGGUUGGAUAAAGGAUGACAACAUUAAUGGGUGUAAUGAGAAAAACAUGAGAUAUAAAGAAAGAAAUGAUUGAAAGAAAGAUUUAUUAGCUAUUGAUAUGAUUAUUAUAAAACAUAUCCUUGAAUGAGGAAAAUUUAUGAGAUGAGUUUGUGACUAUAGGAAGGACCACCUGUGUGGUGCAACAGCAGCAACAUGGGAGCACAAGUAGAGCUUCUACUGCAGGUAGGUGACUUUCACCUUCCUUUUAAAUAAUGUUGAAUAAUGAAAAUACUUUAUCAUGAAUAUUACUGUAUUGUGUUAAUUCAUAUACCAGAUUGUCAAAUGCUUAAAUGUAAACAAUUUAUUAGCUUCGGCUAAUGGCAUUCGAAGGGAUGACCGGGACAAACGAGUGAUUAGCUUUGGCUAAUGGCAUCCGAUAGGAUGGCCGGGACAAACGAAUGAUUAGCUUUGGCUAAACAAAUGAAUGAUUAGCUUUGGCUAAUGGCAUUCGAUGGGAUGACUGGGACAAACGAAUGAUUAGCUUUAGCUAAUUGCAUCCGAAGGGAUGGCCGGGACAAAUGAAUAAUUAGCUUUGGCUAAUUGCAUCUGAAAGGAUGACUGGGACAAACAAUUGAUUAGCUUUGGCUAAUGGCAUCCGAAUGGAUGACGGGGAAAAUUGAAUGAUUAGUUUUGGCUAAUGGCAUCCGAAUGGACGACCGGGACAAAUGGUUGAUUAGCUUUGGCUGAUGGCAUUCGAAGGGGAUGGCCGGGGUGAGUGAACAGUUAACCUCGACAAAUGAUGUCUUAAAAGAAUGGCUGGAUUUAAAUUUAAGAUUAUGGUUGAUUGUAAGAAUUGGUGCAUAUAUAUGUACUGCAAGUUGUGUAUACCAAGAACAUGAAGGAACUACAAAUGUCACGCUUCAAACAUGAGAUAAUGUUAAUGCUUCAUUAAAUUGCCAGACCAUUUUCUUCUUAUUAUUAUUAUUAAGUAAUUGCAUUCUUGUAAAUGUUUUGUACUGCAGUAGGGACGUCAUACCAACAAGGUGCCUAGAAAACGCAAUACACGGGAACCUACUUUUGCAAGGAAUCAUGUAGUUGCAUUCUAAAUCAUGAUGUAUUUUAUAUGAAUCAAUGUACUGAAUGUAUAACUAUUAUUAGAUCAUUUUAGAUUAAAUUCAUGAUGACUAUUUGUAGGAUAGAAUACAAACUCAUAUCUAUACAUGUAUAUUUUAAAUGCGAACUUAUAAUCAUGCAAACAUAAUAUUAUGAGUUUAUGUAAGAUUCACUUUUAACUGAAAAUGUUGAUUGUUGUUGAUGUAUGGAUUGUAUAUUGAUGAUGUGAAGGGAACAUGUUCGUCGAUUACCAACACGAUGUGUGUCAAGUACAAAAAAAAUAAAAAUUUACUGUUGUUUUGGGCUUGAAAAGUCGGGUUGUUACAAGCUCCACCACCAGCAGAAACAGAGGAGAAACCGAAACAAAACAGAGAAAAGGAGAAAGAACAGGAGGGAGGGCAGAAACAAAGGGCAAGGAAAACACAGAAAAAAGAACCACCAACCACCCUCAGCUCCCCAGUCUGCCACCGUUAGCGCCAAUAACAACGCCAUCGACAGUAGCUCCACCAUCGUCAGAGACCGAAGAAGAAAUGUAGAAGCAGGAGAAUAGAAACAAGGAGAAAAGGAAAACAUAGGAAAACAGAGAGAAAAACAAAGAAGAACCACCGUCUAGAAUCCUCCAUCCGCUGCACGAUUCUUCCUCAACACUGUCACCACUUGCCACAGUCAACACCAGCACCGCCACCACUGCCAGGUCAGCUUCUUCUCCUUCAUCGUCCUCGGCUACUCCACUGUUCUGUAUGAACAGUGGAGAGUCCUCCAUUGUUCACUAGGCCAGACAAGUCUGGCCCAACCCAAAACGAGAAUCGCCUAGAGCCACUGUCGACAACAGCUCCACCACCAGCAGAAACAGAGGAGAAACCGAAACAAAAUAGAGAAAAGGAGAAAGAACAAGAGGGAGGGCAGAAACAGAGGGCAAGGAAAACACAGAAAAAAGAACCACCAACCACCCUCAGCUCCCCAGUCCGCCACCGUUAGCGCCAACAACACCGCCAUCAACAACAGCUCCACCAUCGUUAGAGACCGAAGAAGAAACGUAGAAGCGGGAGAACAAAAACAAGGAGAAGAAGAAAACACUGGAAAACAGAGAGAAAAACGAAGAAGAACCACCGUUUGGAAUCAUCCGUCCUCUGCGCCAUUCUUCCUCAACACUGCCACCGCUUGCCACAGUCAACACCAGCACCGCCACCACUGCCAGGUCAACUUCUUCUUCUUCGUCGUCCUCGGCUGCUCCACUAUUUUGCAUGAACAGUAAAGAGUCCUCCAUUUUUCACUAGGCCAGACAAGUUCGGCCCAACUCAAAAUGAGUGGGUCGAGUCCGGCUCAGUCCAAAUUUUUUUUUUAAAAAAAAUCAUUUCGAAAAUUUGUGAUUUUUCUGCAUAUUUUUCUGUCCAUUUUGAUUAGUAUCGGUUUGUAUUUUAAUAUCAUAAGGAUACGAAUCUGGUUUUCAUCGAAACGUUGCAAAAAAUAAAAAAAAUAUCUUGUUUUCAUGCAUAUGACCAAGUCUUAAUACGACAAAAAAUCAUAUCGUAUUUUCAUACGACAAAAAAUCAAAAAUAUGUGUUAGCAUGUAUUUUAGCUUUAAUAACCAGCUUAUUAAAGCCACGAGAACUUGGUCAAUAUUCCAAAAAAUUUCAAAAAAAUCAUUUUGUUUUCUUUUAGUAUCUGGGAUUACAAAUUUAUACAUACAACGUAUUCCCAAUAUUAAAAAGAUAUUUCUUUUUAUUAACGUUAGAACGGUUAGGUUUUACCCGAUAAGAUAAAGAUAUGCUUACCGAGGAUGACUUUUCUUAAACUAUAGACAGACCAACAUAUAGACGUUAGCAUAUAUUAGACAAUAAAACAAUACAACUUACCUUAGGUAGGGCGUAUUUGAGUUGCUAAUACUUUCACUUUACGCAACUAGUCCCCGUGCCCGAUCUCUGAGACCAGUUAGGGUUCCUAGUGACCAAAACACUAGGUGACGACUUUCAUUCCAUCAUUCCACCGAUAAAAGACAAGAAUUCUCUGAGUGGACAAUCAUCGUGACGCCGCAUACGUGCGACAACAUGAAAGUCAUAUUGUAUGGAAUUUGUAUGAUGUGUUUCUUGAGAGAAAGCUUGUAUUAUUCAAAAUAAACUUUUAUUAAGUGUAAAUUAUUUAAAAUAAUAAUAAUUUUAUUCAGAACCUUUAUAAAUCUAUACAUAUAAUUAAAUCUAAUCAUAUAAUUUUUUUUAAAAAUUAUUUGAUUGCUGUCUUGCGCUUCUAUUAUCGUGGAAUUAAGUAAAAUAUGAUUUUAUAAAAUAAAGUUGUUAGACCUCACUGAGUCAUUUGUUUGGCAUGUAUACUGGAGUUGAUUCAAGAUAUCAUCGUCUUAAUAUUUGAAGAACAAUGUUAAAAUGUUGAUGUCUUCAAUUCUUUCUAGUCAAACUAGAUUUUUACUAGGUCGAUUAGAUCAAACUUUAACUUACUUAGUUGAUUGGAUCAUAUAAAAGUAAAAUCUAACCCAAUUUAGCUUAACACCUAAGCUAGGAGAGGGCUAAACUCAAAAUGUCUAUGAUUUUAAUUGAAAUUCAUUAAAACAUUAACAACACCUGUAAAUACAUUUUUCUUUUUGCCAUCAAAUUUAAUUUUUUAUCAUACCUACAAUGUAGCUUGGUUAAGUUAAUUAUGGAUCAUCUUACUACUUUUGUUUUUCAAAUUUUGUCAAGAAAUACUGCUAAAACACAUAUUAGCAACAAUUAUAUAUAUAUAUAUAAAUUAAUCCUACCUCAUGCAAAACACGUGCCACUAGCUAGGUUAAUUUAAAGCACCACUUGCUUUGCGGUAUUGGAGAGAAUGUAGUCAUCAUAGAUUCUGUUUGGAAAACUGAUCUUCGAAGAGAUUAGGAGCUGGAUAUUGUCUUCCUCUUCCUCUUUUUUAAUAUUUAUCUAUAUCAUAUUCCUCGUCUUAUUCUUCACCACUGUAAAGGGAUAUUUGAAAGGAAAAAAAAAUUGUAAAGUUUUAUUGUGUUUUUACUUUCCCGUCAUAUAUAGUUUUAAAAAAUACAUUUAAAAUCCUAGGUCAAAUAAAAAUUUAAAAAUAAUAAUAAGAAAAUAUUAUCAUAUAUAAUAUAACACAAAUAAUAACUAUAACUAUGAUAUCAAUGUUCACUAGGGUUCCAGAUUAUAGCUAUUUGAUUAUAGAAUUAAAAAGUGAGUCAGCCAGAAGGUAGUUAAUUGGCAUUUCACAGACAUAAAAUGGGUGUUUAUAAGUGAGGUGGUAAUUGUUUUUUAAAGUGUUUUUUGACUUGAAAAUGCAUCAAAAUAAUAUUUUUUAUUUUUAAAAGAUUAAUUUUGACAUUAACACAUCAAUAAUUUGAAGUAAAGAAAAAAAUAAUUUUUUUUUUUUAAAAACCUUUUGAAAUAUAAAAACAAAUAGCCAUAAUAACAAGCAAAACAUCAGAUGCAGUUAAUGAUUCUUAUAAGAUUUAAUCAAUUAUUUUUGGAACACGACAGUUAAAACCUUUGAAAUUGAAGCAUGCACCAUAAAAUGAUGAUGAUGGCCUUGCUGAACUGAACCAGAUUGCCUCAGGUUGUGGCUUACGUCGCCUUGCGUUGUGAUAGGAAAGACGUCUACGACAGCUUCGCUUCUUGUCAUCAAACUCUGACAAUUCACGGAACCUAAACAAAUUUUGCAUCCUAAAUGCAGCAGCAGCAGCAGACUUUAGCCGUAGAUAAUAACAUCAGAAAGCUUAGCAAAAGCAACAAAGCUAAAUCAUGGAGAUUAAAAAUGAAUAAUUACUAAGAAUUCCCCAAGAAUCAAGAUUCAUGAGAGUGUUACGUAUCUGGAUGACAGAAUAGUGGGAGAUGUUGCAACAAGAAAAAGACUACUAUGGGGAGGCAAGAAGGAGCGGGAAGUAGAGACGCCAGGAGCACACAACCUGCUGUUUAGUUAUUAAUAUUCUUUUAGUUAGUUGGAGUACAUUCGGUUAGCAGAGUUUGUUAAUCACUUUGAGUUAGUUGGAUUAGUACAAUUUCGAUUUCAUUUCUCUCUUCUCUGCUAAUAUCAUUCUGCUUCUUAGCCUCAUCUUCUUGAUUUGUUAAGUGAUCUUAACAAUUGAUUUUAGAGCCUUAAGAUCUAACACUAUGAUGAAAAAUCAUAAGCUGAAAAACAUUGAAGAACACUGCAAGAAAUUGGAGGAGCGAAUGCAAAUCCUUCAACAAGAACUCUAAGAAUCCCUGGUCGAUCAACAAAACAAAUGGCAGGAACAACUCGGUGAACAAUUAAAGUUGGAAGACUAAUUAGAUUAGUGCUCAAAUUGAAACACUGUCGAAUCAAUUUCAAACAUUCCUUGCUCAUCAGAUGACAGGGAAGGAUGUGGGAAGCACUUCUAGAGGAAUCUUACAGGCACUAGCAAGCGGCAGUCUUGAAGGAAUGUUAUCAAGGGGAAAAGGUCCUGCUAGGGGAGAUCAAACUUAUGGCCAGGAGCAGUAGAGAGUGGUGCAUAAUGCUGCUCUUCCAAGGAUGGAUCUGACAACAUUUCGAGGAGAUAAUCCUAGGGGUUGGUUAAGGAGGUGCAAGAAGUUUUUUAGCCUCAACUCAACUCCAUUUCAGUAGUGGGUAGAACUAGCAUCUAUUUACUUGGAAGGAAAGGCAUAAAUCUGGUUUGAAGGCUAUAUGCGUGGGGUAAUUCACUGGUUACUAUGCGCACAACACAGUAACAAGCUAUCUAUGGGCCGAUUCUGGCCUAGUUUCUUUUGGGCUAGGCCAGGCCCAGUUUUUUUGGGAUUUGUACUAUUUCCUCGCGUAUUUUUAUGCCUUUUUUAUUAAUUAGUAUUGGAAUAUAUUUUUAUGUCAUUAAAAAUACAAAAUCUGGUAUUAAAAUACCCGGUUUUCGUCAAAACUUCCAAAAAUACAAAAAAAAUUGAAAAUAGAAAAAAUAUUUUUGUGCAUACGGCCAAGAGUCUCAAAGCUAAAAAAAAUCAUAUUGUGUUUUUCAUACACCAAAAAACAAUGUUUUAGCAUGCAUUUUGGCUUUAAUAACCAGUUUAUUAAAGUCCAGAGAACAUUGACCAAAAUUUAAAAAACAACAAAAAUUUUAUUUUGUUUUGUUUUAAUAUCAGGGAUUAUGAAUUUAUACGUAAAACGUAUUCCCGAUAUUAAAAAGGUAUUUUCUUUUGACAACAUAGAACAGUUAGGUUUGUACCCGAUAAGAUAAGAACCUUCUUAUUGAAGAGGGCUUUUCUUGACCCUUUAGACGGACCAACAAUUAGAAAACACAACAAGACCAUAAUUUUUAUCAAACAUUAAAACAAUGCAGCUUACCUUAGGUAGGGCGUAGUGGGGGUGCUAAUACCUUCCCUUUACGCAACCAGUCUCCGUACUCGAUCUCUGAGACUAGUUAGGGUUCCUAGUGACCAAAAUACUAGGUGGCGACUCCCAGUCCAUAUUUUACUGAUAAGAGACAAGAAUUCCUUGUCUCUCCAUAUUUGCCAGACAGACCUUUACCAUUUUCGUUGUGAAUGGUGGACGAUCGUCGCGACGCCGCACACGUGCGACAAUAUGGUUGGUGGGGCAGUUUUUUCUGGUAGAGGUAACAACAAUACCACAUCAGGUACUUGCUAAUGCAGAAAUAACAAGGUUAUUGGCAGACUAUGCAGUUGCUUUUCAAGAACCAACAUCAUUGCCACCUACCAGGAAACAUGAUCAUAGAAUUCCACUAACAACAGGAGCUCAACCCGUCAAUUGCAAACCAUAUAAGAGCUCUUUCUUUCAAAAGGGGGAGAUCGAAAUGAUGGUCAAGGAGAUGCUACACAACAACAUAAUACAACCCAAUGUUAAUCCCUUUGCCUCUCCUAUUCUUUUGGUGAAGAAGAAGGACAACACAUGGCGUUUUUAUGUAGACUUUCGACUGCUGAAUGAAAAAAUUUCUUAGUAUUCUUUGACGAUAUUGUCAUUUAUAGUUCCUCUCUAAAAGAACACAUCAGUCAUUUGAAGCAAGUCUUGGACACUCUUAAAACUAACCAACUGUAUGCGAAGAGAUUCAAGUGCACAUUUGCAGAGCCGCAAGUAGAGUAUUUGGGGCAUAUAAUUUCAGCUGAAGGGGUAGCCACUAAUCCUAAGAAGAAACAGGCAGUACAGGAGUGGCCAAUUCCAAAAUCCAUUAAGAAGCUAAGGGGAUUCCUUGGCCUAGCUGGUUAUUAUUGAAAAUUCAUUAGGAAAUUUGGUAUUAUUAGCAAGCCUUUGACAAAUAUGCUCAAGAAGAAUAACUUCAUUUGGCAUGAAGGAGCACUAGAGGCUUUUCGCAACCUGAAACAAGCAUUGUGUAAGGCUUCAAUCAUGGCCUUGCCGGACUUUACCAAACCGUUUGUGCUGGAACCAGACGCUUGUGAUACUGGAAUUGGAGCAGUACUUAGCCAGGAAGGAAGACCAUUAGCAUUUUUUAGCAAGGCCUUGGGAGUCAAACACUUGAGGCUAUCCAUUUACGAGAAGGAAUACCUUGCUAUUCUAAUGGUAGUCGACAAGUGGAGGCAUUACUUGGAACAAGAUCAGUUUGUCAUUCAAACUUAUCAUAAAAGUCUGACGUAUCUACUUGAUCAGAAAAUUCACACUCCUAUACAAAAGAAGGGGCUGACUAAGCUGUGGGGGUUGAACUAUCGGAUCAGGUACAGAAAAGGAAAGAAGAAUAAGGCUGCAGAUGCCUUAUCUAGGAGGAAUAUGCAGGGGGAAGAAGGCUGUCAAGGAAAUAAAAUGGAAGGGGGAAGGUUCACCGCCAUAACACAAAUAACUCCCUCCUGGUAUGACAAGAUUUAUGCCUCUUAUAAAGACGAUGCCAAGUUGCAGGAUAUGAUGAGGAGUAAACUGGUAGAUGCUGCACAAUCUCUCAACUUUGUAUGUUGAAGGAGUGAUUAAAUAUAAGGGGAGAGUUAUUAUUGGAUCUGCAGGGUUAUUAAAGGAAGAACUCAUCAAGUCUACCUAUGAUUCCUACAUUGGAGGACAUGCUGGGAUCCAAAAUACAUACAGACGACUUAAGGCUCACUUCUACUGGCCUUCUAUGAGGAAAUUAGUGCAAGAAAUAGUUCAACACUGUGACAUUUGUAAACAAGCUAAGGCCGAAAGGGUCCCUUAUCUUGGAUUGUUACAGGCUCUUCAAGUUCGAAGUGGUUCUUGGCAGGAUAUAACCAUGGAUUUCAUAGAAGGAUUUCCAAGGUCAGAAGGCAAGGAUACCAUUAUGGUCAUUGGUGAUCGAUUUACGAAGUAUGGGCAUUUUAUCACAUUAGCCCAUCCCUUCACAGCUCAAGAGGUGGCUAAAUUGUUUCUGGAUCACAUUUAUAAGUUACAUGGCUUGCCUGCCACGAUAUUAACUGAUAGAGAUAAAAUUUUCACAAGCUUGUUCUGGAGAGAAUUGUUUAGACAUUUGGGCAUAAAGUUGUUACUAAACGCCUCCUAUCAUCCUCGAAUGGAUGGUCUGACCGAGAGGGUGAAUCAAUUCCUAGAGACUUACCUAAGGUGCAUCACUAUACAUUGUCCCAAAAGUGGAACACUUGGAUAUCGACAGCACUAUUUAACAAUUGUUUAGAAGGUAGAUAAAUUAUUUUGAAUUCACAAUUUAACAUGACAUGGAAGGAACAUGCAUUAGAGAGAGGAUCUAAUUUAACAUGUCGUACAAUAAUAACUUAAUCUAUAGCCUUUUUUAUUUAUUUUCUUUUUAAUUUUGGUACAAUAAAAAGGCUCUUCAAAUAUGUAGAAGAUAUAACAUAUUUAGAGUAUGAGAUAUUGAGGCCAGCUUUCAACUGCCAUGAUAUUUUCUAGUAAUUCCUUAACUUAUACUGCAUAUAGUUUAUUACUGAGUUGUUGCGUAAUUAAUUAAUUGGAAUAGAGGGCAUGUAUCCCAUCAAUAUCAUCCUGGGCGAGAUCUCUUUUCUUCUUUCCAGCUUCUAUCGUUGGAUACAUGAUGGCUUCGGGAUGAUCUGUACUAUGAUGAAGGCCAAGCAGAUGUCCUAUUUCAUGAACAGUAACGGAUUCCAGGUCAGUUUGAUCCAUUGCGGGGUCAGUGCUCCAGUUCUCGUCUGCAUCGUAAUGGAGACGGCCGUCUUGUGGAUAAAAAGCAUGAGCCAGUGUUUUCCCUGGUCCAUCAAAAGGAUACCGGUCCCCAUGAUCGCCGCUGUAGAACUCAAUUACAAUAUCUGCUGAUGCACCGGCAGUCGCCUCCUGGAAAGUGAAUUUAGAAACCUUUGCCCAUGUUUGGAAAGCUUUUGAGCAGACCGACCUCAAGGUGUCCGAACCAACAACUUGGACACCGGAGCCAAAUCUGUAGGUCAGAGCAUACUUGGAAGGUGGCCACUUUUCUGCCCCGAAAGCAUAAUGAGCCACCAUGUGGACCUUCUUGUGUUUUGAUUUAGUGCUGUUCGGUUUGGUGGACGGAGUGUUUAUGAUAUCAGGCGUUCCACAUCGUGGAAUCACCAUUUGUUGUAUGGUACUAGAGUCGAGGUUACCAGUAACAUUCAGAUGAAAAUAUUCUUGGUAUGUUUUGAGUGCUAGCUCCAAGUGGUCAUCAAAAUCACUGCUUGUGAGAGUGAUAUCAUCACUUGGGUAGUACCCAAGCUUUUUGAGAUAUUGUUUGAGCUCAAUAAGCCCUUGCACAGUUUGGCCCUUUUUAACCCCUUCCAGCCCUUGAAGGAAGCUGCUAAAAGAUUGCCGAUGCUCGGGUUUCAAAGUUCUUGCCAGACCUCUGAAGGACUGGAUAGAAAAGAUAACGAGGAUUGCUGAUAAAAGAUGGGAAAGAUUAGGAGCCAUAUAUUAUGUUGUUUCGGAGAAUGGCUUCAGACGUGGGUUGUGGCUUUCAAUUCUAGUAUCGGAUGGCUAUUUAUAGGCAUAGUAUGUUGUAUUGGCAUUAGGACUAUAGAAUAUGUCUUGAGAUUUACUACUAUCCUUAUUUUUGUUAAUUCUGAUUACUUAUUUUCAAAUAUUAAUUAUUUAGACUACAUUUUUCCUUCAAGCAUCUAAUUUAUUUAUUUUCUUUCGUAGUAAUCAAUGAAAUUACUAUCUGAAUAUUUGAGUUUAACUUUCAUUUAUAUAGUUAUUAUUAGAUAUCUCUAUCCAACAAAAUCAACAACUUCAUUGUGAUUGUUUUUUAUGUAGCUUUUGUGGUUGUGAUUUUAAAAAAGUGCGGUUAGCUGUGGUUAGUUAGAUUUAGAUACGUGUUUGGUAAAAAUUGUGAUUGAAGUUUAUGUGUAGUAAAAAAACAUACUAAAAUGUUUGGUGGAAGUGUGGUUGCAGUUGCUUUUUAAAGUGCUUUUUACUUGGAAAUGUAUCAAAAUAAUAUUUGUUUUAUUUUUUUAAAAUUAUUUUUGAUAUCAGCAUAUCAAAAUGAUCUGAAAACACCAAAAAAAUAUUAAUUUGAAGUAAAGAAAAAAAUAAAAAAUUCUUAAAUUUUUUCAAAAGCGUUUUUGAAACGCUAAAACAAACAGGGUUUUACAAAACUCAGUUAAAAAAGCAUGUAAAAACUGCUUCACAAAAACUGCGUUUCAAACUCAAUUUUUUAGUGGGUCUCGUAGUAUAAAACGCAGUUUGGUUUGUUACCAAACACCUUGCCGCGUUUAUUGCACCGCAAACACAAAAGCAGGUGUAAAACAAAUGCAACCUUCUACUAUUAAGAAAGUACAUCUCUAUUCCGUGUCUCAUAAAUUUAAAUUAUCAAAUGGCUAAUCCUAAAUUGAAUCAAAGUUUUAUUUAUCAUUUCAAUAAUUUUAUUUUUGUCUUUGUUAGUCUUGAAUGAUUAAAUAUAGUAUAUUCUUUUAAUAUAUCUUUUUAUUUAAUUCAUUUAAAUAAUGUUGUUGAGAAGGAGCGCUCAAAAAAUAAAUGAUCAUGGGUUUCCACAUGUAAACCACACAAAAUACAUACAGUAGAGGUGAUGAUCUGAAAAGUCUGUAGUCUGUUAAUAGUGUGUAGACGACCCAAAAAGACAAGCCAUAAGAUGAAGGAGUGUCAUGGGACAUGUCCUAGAAACCAAAGAAGAUGGUGCAUAAUAUUCUUGGGCCUGGUAUCUGGAAGUGCCUCCCAAGAGAUCCAAAAGAGAUGCUUUCAAAUCAUUAUCCACACCUUAUAUGAAAACAUGACUCUUCUCUAGGUUGAUCAUCAGCCUUGAUAACACAACAAAGUCAUCCAGAGCCCUCAUCACAACACCCACUGAAUUGGUGUCUGCCUGACAAAAUAUCAUAAGGUCAUCAACAAAGAAUAAAUGAGUAAUACUCUCGUGUUGACACCUCUAGUGAUAGUGGUAUCUCUGGUUCUAAGCAGCCUUUCUAAGAAUACCAUCAAGCCCUUCAUAGCCAGCACAAACAAAGUUAGCUACACGCAUACUUUGGUUACGAGACAGCUUAGGGGCAUACAAUAUGUGCCAAGGACAACUAAACUAUCACAAUUCUCUGGGUUAUUCAAAGACCAAUCCGCUUUAGAAGUUAUGGAAAACAUCAAACAAGAUUGGAAGCUUUUGGUAUCGAUAAAAAAAAAAGAAUUAGAUGGUUUGAGAGAUCUAGUCACUAGUGAAAAAUACCCGAGGUGGAGAAAUCUAUCAUUGGUGACUUUCUUCAUGAAUCUCGAAUUCAAAACGGAAACUUCACAAACCGCUGAACUAAAUAAGAGAAAAAGAAUUAACAACGAGGAAGAGUUGAGAGAACAACUGGAAAAGCUCUAUGUAGAAUUGGGCACCAAUAAAGCCCUCAAGAUCUCCCUCGAGGAACAACUCUUCAUUGAAGAUAAACUGAGGAAGUUUAUGGAGUAACAGUUGAUGAACUGACCCUUAAAUGUAAAAGCUUUCACUGAACAUGAAUGAAAAGGGCAUGGACCCAAUCUUCACAGCAACAUUUUGUAUUGAUGAGUAUAAAUUUAUUAGGAAUUGGCUCAAAUCAAAUUGUCUCGACAGUUAUAAAAGGAUAAAAAUCUUACCCAAAUGAUAGCAUAUAUCAGUCAGAAAUUUGGCUAAUCCACAUUCAAAUAUGCAUCAUCAUGCAUAAUUAUACAUCCAUAUGCACUUGUGUUUAUGAAUUUCAAAAUAUGCCUAACAGGUAUUUGAAAUUUAGGUUCCCCUACUAAAAUCUACAAUACUAGGUUUUGUAAAAGGAUGGAAAAUGAUGAAAGGGCUCACUACCAAAAAGAGUUGGAUGAUGUUAAGAAUAACAUGGCUCGGGUGACUAGUUUACUCGACCAACUCUUGUAAGCACAGUCAGGGGAAGGGACAUCCAGUCAGCAUCCGACUCUAUAAUCACCGCUAGUAGCUCUAGUUAUCAUUGACCCACAAAACUUGGAAACAAAUCCCACCGCUAGACCACAAGGAACAAAAAACAUUCCAAUUACUCACCCAAUUAUGCCUGCUCAAGUACUAACCAUAAUAGAUCUAACUAAAGGGGAAUCCCAUGGGGUUAAAUCUUUUGGUCACCCUAAACAAGAUAAGUGGGUUGCCUGGGAGGAGAGGUUUAGAGUUGUUGAGGGAUUUGACGUCUAUGACUUAGUUAGAGCAGCUGAGAUAUGCCUAGUACCAAAUGUAGUGGUACCCAAAGAGUUUAGAGUGCCAGAAUUUGUCAAGUACACGGAGUUAGAAUGCCUUAAUACACACCUGAGGUCAUAUUACAACAAAAUGACGGAGGUCAUAUAUAAUGACAAGUUGCUCAUCCAUUUCUUCCAAGAAACUUGACUAGUUUCACGUUAAGCAGAAAAUAUAAGAAUAAUAUAUAUGUCAAGUGUAUGGAAAGUAAUUUUAAUAAAUACAAGACUAUUCAGACAUCAUAUUUUUAGGUAAAUAAAGGAUGAAAAACAUCUUCUUUUUAUUGGCUUCAUUCUUGUGAUAUAUUACUUGAUAGGUUAGAACAUGUAAAUUAUAAUUCUAUAUACAAGUCAAUUAAUUUUGAAUUAUUAUUAAGUAUUGUUUUUUUUAAAAUAAAGUUUAUAUUGAAUCAAAAUUCAUAAAAAUUUUGGUAUCAAAUCAAGUCUCCUUCUUGAUCUUCCUCUCCAUCUCUUUGUUGAUGUAGAUUUUUAUUGUCCGACAAAAAUAGAAUGUAAGUUACUCAAUGUUUUAAAAAUUAUUAUUUAAUUACUAAAAUACACAUUAUUACUUAUAAUAACCGGUUAAAAAGGUACCUUAAUGAAUAAAAAGGACAUAAUAUAAUACCUAAUUAAUUAUAUUAUUUCAAUUUUCCAGGGUAUCACACUAGUUUCGAUUAAGAUUUUAGAUGACAACCUUACUCAAAUUAAGAUCUAUAUAUGGCAAUAUAAAUUUCCGGAAGUAUAUUCAAAAUAAUCAUCAAGUAAGAGGCCUUAGUUUCAUAACCAAAAGAACCGGUCUUCUUAUCAACAGCAGAAGCAAUCCUUCUUUUCUUUUCUUUUUUCCUUUUCUAUUUAUAAGCAAAAUAGUACCAGGAACGCCUAUGAAGAGGCAGCAGGAAAUUGUAGCUAAAGAAGAUUAAAAACAAAUCACACUAUAUUACUAUCAAAACUCAUGCCACUGCUUCUAAAGUGCAAGACCUCAUCAGAAGCAGAUACCAAGACCAAUCAACUCGAGAAAAUUCAAUCCUAUGGGAGCAUCUUGGGUUUUCCUUUAUGAUGGCUAUCGGAUGUCCACAGCAUUACAACUGGAGUUUUGCUCCGCAUCAAACAACUCAUCACGUCGGUAUUAUGUAUUCAUCCUCGCCGGGCCAAGGCAAAAGUGUCGUCUUCAUGGGACAGAUUUCUCUUGUAAGGUAUGGAAAAUAUCGGCAUCAAUUCCAUCUCCAUCUCCGAUCUUUCCUUGCAUCAAAUGUUUUGUUUGAUCUUUUGGGCCAGGAGUUUGGGAUCCAAUGAUGUAAGGGUAAAAUAAUGAUUCGUGGUCAUCAGCAAGUCUAUGGGAUUUGGUAUUCAGACUUCAUAUAUUUACAAGUAUCCUCCGACAACUCUUGAUAUCUCGUCGAUGCAGUCAUGGCAACAGGAAGUCUAUGGGUUUUGGCCGUAAAUGGCGCCGAGAGAGCCCUACCAUCAAAUGCAUUAUCGUCUUCAGCUUCAUUAUCGUUUGUCCUUUCCAACACGUACCAAAUGGUUUGCCCUCCGAUUCAGGUUGAUGCAUCUUUCAGUCAGCAUUAAGGCUCGGUAAUUAUAUUUCCAAUGAUAAAGAAACUUUUGGAUCUAUGCCCACUCCAUAAAGAUUUUAUUGUUAUUGGUGAGAUAACUAGAUUAAACUUCUUCAAUCUUUAUAUUUUCUCUUGAAGUGAAAGCUAAGGAUAUCUACAAAUAAAAGAAAUUCCAAACCUAACAAAAAAUUGAAGUGUACAUUAAACUUAUAAUUGAAUUUGGCCUUGUUGCUUAAAUUCUGAUUCUUUAUAUAUGAUUUUAUUGAUAUUUUAUUGCAAAAUGGAUUAUUAAAUCUCAUCAUUUUAUCAUCAUUAAUUCUUUUUAUUAAAAAGAAUAUUUUACGGCCAAUUCAUUUCAUGACAAUGAAUGAAUUUAUUUAACAUAUUAACGAUUUUUACUUUAUUGAAAAUAUAUUUUAAUAAAAAAAUUUAAUAGAUAGUUAUGAUGUUAUAUUAUUAUGAAAUAUAAAUAUAAAUAAAAAAACUCAAAGAAGGUAAGUUUUAUCACUCAACAAAUUUAAAAUGGAUAAAAAUAACAAUUGGAGUGUGAAUAGCUAGUGCUUUCAUUCUUUUUAUGAGAAUUAUGGUGUACUUUGAAUUGGUUUCAAAAUCUAAUGUAGAAACUCCCUUCAUACUAUGAAAUAAUUUGUCUUUGUCAAUUGAAUAUAAAAUUAAAAAAUAGCAAAAGAUAUUACCUUUGGAAACUAAGAGGAUAAUCUUUAGAGAAGUCCCCCUUCCCUCUCAUCAAAUUAUAUUAAAAAAUUAAGGAAUCAAAUUUUAAUAUCUUUUAUAGAAUUUGAUAGGGAAUUAGGGCCCAUCUUCAAGAUAGAGAUUAAAGAGAAAAUCAUUCUUAAAAAAUGAAUAUCUCCACUUUAGAAAUAAGUGUUUUGAUUUAUAUCUCCUCUUGAUAUCUAUUUUUCUCUGUAAAAUAAAAAUUAGUAUUCAUUAGUUACUACUGAAGUAACACAUGAAAUAUUUUAGUGAAUUAGAUCAAUUAAUCUAAAUUUCUAUAUUUAAAUAUUGCACUUGACCCAAUUGCAAUUGUGAUUUGAUUUCAGUAUAAUUGACGAAACCCAAAUGUGCUCAUUAAUUGUUAACAUCGAAAGUUUAAAAAAGUUGAAUGUGUUAAAAUCACUCGAAACCUAUAUAAAUAGAUACAUAUGAUUAAAAUGAAAAAACGAAGAGACACAAAAUAUUUAUAAUUCUUCCAAAUAAGUUUUAUUUAAUUCAACAAUUUGUUUAACAAUACUAAUGAUGUUGUUGAGUAGGAUUAUAGUUGAUAAUAAUAAAUAAUUGAUGAAAUCUUCAUGUUAAAACAAUACUAAUGACGAGAGGGAAGAUUGAAAAACAGAGAGGAAUUGUUUUGAGAUAUAGAGACGAGAAAAGAGAGAAAAUAGAGUAGAAGAGAGAAGAACCUCCACCGUCUGCCUUCUUCAAUAUUGCCGCCAUGAGAACCGCCUUGAGCCACUGUCGACAGCAGCUCUGUAAACCCCCGGUUAUAAUUUUUCUGGGUAUUUAAAAGAUGAGAAAUUUAACCAAUAGUAAAAGGGGUUAAAUUAAAUUAAAGAAACCUAAAUCAAGAUAAAAAUAGUGAAAUUAAUGAAAUGAAAAGUCAAUAUAGUACUAAAUUAUUGAAAAGAAAAACAUUUGUGAGGACAAAAUGAAUAUGUAAAAUCAAGAGAGGUCAAUAUUCAAAUAACAGAAGGUUGGGAGUUUAUGUACAAAUGAUAAAAAGGGGUGGGGAUAAAUGUGCAAUUAACAAGAUGUUAGAACUAUAAAUAUCAUUCUAUUUUCUCUCUUGGAGGAACUGACAAGAGUAAGAGAGAGUUUAGAGAGAGGCUGGACAGAAGACAUAUUGAUGGCAGAACAUCCGACAGCUAUAACUCCACCUUCCACCGUUGGAUCAGAACGAUAUUCAGAUAUAUUAUUCUCAUCCAUGUCAUGUACAUUUUCACUAUAGGGAUUUUCUAUAUGAGUCUCCGGUUGAGAGAUAUCGAGGGGGGAAAUAUCUGGGAAAAUACACUUCUGGACAAUCUUCUUUGCUGUCUGUUUUCUCUUUCGGCCACUGUUGGAUUAGGCUAUAAUUUGGAUAUGUUGUUCUUCCUGAUUCUGUCUAGACUCUGAACGGUGGAGAUCUGAAACAAACAUUCGGUAUAGAAGUUGUGUAUCUCACACAGUAGGUCUGCAAGUUUGAAGUCAGUUCGGUUAAACCCAUAUUUCUAGAAAUCGCACCAUUUGAUGAAGUUAAUAUUUGGAUAUGUUAUACUCAUAAUAAUGCAUUAUAACUUGACAGUAUGGAUUGUUUGGAAUAUUAUUCGUUUGUUAUUUAUGGUUGAUUGAAACUGUUUUCAAGGAUUGUGUUUAGAAGAAUAUUGUUCGGAAAGUUUGUAAAAUCGAUAAGAAUGUUUUAUUUUGACGUUAAGAGGGAAGAUUGAAAUAAAUAAGGUAAAUUGGCUCUUAAAAAGAUAUUUUUUUGACACUCUUAAAUGAUAUGUGAUAUGGCCAGGGGUUGAGAUAAAAGAGAAAAAGUUAAAUUAUGGAUGUUGUGUGUAAAUGAAAAGGUUGAUGAAUCUGGACAGAUUCGUCUCCUGACUUUUAAAGAGAAUUUGAGUAGGAGGAUGAGAGAAUUAGGAUCAAGUUUCUUCAUAGUAAUUGUAGUUUUGGAUGUUAGCUAACUAAGAAAAAUUGGUCUUGCUCAAUAUGGAGCUGUAGAACCCUAGCUAUGGGUCAUCAACUGAGAUUGGGUCCUGAUAGACCCUGUAGGGUAGUGUUUGUUGAUGAGCAAUUUUGACUAUUUCAGAGGCAGAACUGGGUUCUCCUUACUCAGAGAACUUGUAGCCUCGUGUAUUAGCUUUCCAACGAGACUAAUCUCGCUUGAAACAGAGUUCUAUAACUUUAGAUAUAGUUAAAAAUAUGAUGAGUGUUCAGACAAUGACAGUUGGACAAUAACAGUUCAAUAUCUAGACAGUAACAGUUAGAUAGUAACAAUUGGAAAUUUGACAGUAACAGUUCAAAGUUAGACAGUAAUAAUAAACUUUGACGUGAAUACUAUAUAAAAGAAUUGAGUCAUACGAACACUUGCACAUUGAGAUACUAACUCUAAAAAUAUACAUGAUAUAUGUAUGUAUGUUAUUAUGAGGAAAUGAACAUGCAUAAAAAGUAACAUAUGAGUAAUGGAUGAUUAUGGAUUCUCUGUAAUAUUGGACUGAAGGAAUGAUAACUAUGGUUGGAUAAAGGAUGACAACAUUAAUGGGUGUAAUGAGAAAAACAUGAGAUAUAAAGAAAGAAAUGAUUGAAAGAAAGAUUUAUUAGCUAUUGAUAUGAUUAUUAUAAAACAUAUCCUUGAAUGAGGAAAAUUUAUGAGAUGAGUUUGUGACUAUAGGAAGGACCACCUGUGUGGUGCAACAGCAGCAACAUGGGAGCACAAGUAGAGCUUCUACUGCAGGUAGGUGACUUUCACCUUCCUUUUAAAUAAUGUUGAAUAAUGAAAAUACUUUAUCAUGAAUAUUACUGUAUUGUGUUAAUUCAUAUACCAGAUUGUCAAAUGCUUAAAUGUAAACAAUUUAUUAGCUUCGGCUAAUGGCAUUCGAAGGGAUGACCGGGACAAACGAGUGAUUAGCUUUGGCUAAUGGCAUCCGAUAGGAUGGCCGGGACAAACGAAUGAUUAGCUUUGGCUAAACAAAUGAAUGAUUAGCUUUGGCUAAUGGCAUUCGAUGGGAUGACUGGGACAAACGAAUGAUUAGCUUUAGCUAAUUGCAUCCGAAGGGAUGGCCGGGACAAAUGAAUAAUUAGCUUUGGCUAAUUGCAUCUGAAAGGAUGACUGGGACAAACAAUUGAUUAGCUUUGGCUAAUGGCAUCCGAAUGGAUGACGGGGAAAAUUGAAUGAUUAGUUUUGGCUAAUGGCAUCCGAAUGGACGACCGGGACAAAUGGUUGAUUAGCUUUGGCUGAUGGCAUUCGAAGGGGAUGGCCGGGGUGAGUGAACAGUUAACCUCGACAAAUGAUGUCUUAAAAGAAUGGCUGGAUUUAAGAUUAUGGUUGAUUGUAAGAAUUGGUGCAUAUAUAUGUACUGCAAGUUGUGUAUACCAAGAACAUGAAGGAACUACAAAUGUCACGCUUCAAACAUGAGAUAAUGUUAAUGCUUCAUUAAAUUGCCAGACCAUUUUCUUCUUAUUAUUAUUAUUAAGUAAUUGCAUUCUUGUAAAUGUUUUGUACUGCAGUAGGGACGUCAUACCAACAAGGUGCCUAGAAAACGCAAUACACGGGAACCUACUUUUGCAAGGAAUCAUGUAGUUGCAUUCUAAAUCAUGAUGUAUUUUAUAUGAAUCAAUGUACUGAAUGUAUAACUAUUAUUAGAUCAUUUUAGAUUAAAUUCAUGAUGACUAUUUGUAGGAUAGAAUACAAACUCAUAUCUAUACAUGUAUAUUUUAAAUGCGAACUUAUAAUCAUGCAAACAUAAUAUUAUGAGUUUAUGUAAGAUUCACUUUUAACUGAAAAUGUUGAUUGUUGUUGAUGUAUGGAUUGUAUAUUGAUGAUGUGAAGGGAACAUGUUCGUCGAUUACCAACACGAUGUGUGUCAAGUACAAAAAAAAUAAAAAUUUACUGUUGUUUUGGGCUUGAAAAGUCGGGUUGUUACAAGCUCCACCACCAGCAGAAACAGAGGAGAAACCGAAACAAAACAGAGAAAAGGAGAAAGAACAGGAGGGAGGGCAGAAACAAAGGGCAAGGAAAACACAGAAAAAAGAACCACCAACCACCCUCAGCUCCCCAGUCUGCCACCGUUAGCGCCAAUAACAACGCCAUCGACAGUAGCUCCACCAUCGUCAGAGACCGAAGAAGAAAUGUAGAAGCAGGAGAAUAGAAACAAGGAGAAAAGGAAAACAUAGGAAAACAGAGAGAAAAACAAAGAAGAACCACCGUUUGGAAUCAUCCGUCCUCUGCGCCAUUCUUCCUCAACACUGCCACCGCUUGCCACAGUCAACACCAGCACCGCCACCACUGCCAGGUCAACUUCUUCUUCUUCGUCGUCCUCGGCUGCUCCACUAUUUUGCAUGAACAGUAAAGAGUCCUCCAUUUUUCACUAGGCCAGACAAGUUCGGCCCAACUCAAAAUGAGUGGGUCGAGUCCGGCUCAGUCCAAAUUUUUUUUAAAAAAAAAAUCAUUUCGAAAAUUUGUGAUUUUUCUGCAUAUUUUUCUGUCCAUUUUGAUUAGUAUCGGUUUGUAUUUUAAUAUCAUAAGGAUACGAAUCUGGUUUUCAUCGAAACGUUGCAAAAAAUAAAAAAAAUAUCUUGUUUUCAUGCAUAUGACCAAGUCUUAAUACGACAAAAAAUCAUAUCGUAUUUUCAUACGACAAAAAAUCAAAAAUAUGUGUUAGCAUGUAUUUUAGCUUUAAUAACCAGGUUAUUAAAGCCACGAGAACUUGGUCAAUAUUCCAAAAAAUUUCAAAAAAAUCAUUUUGUUUUCUUUUAGUAUCCGGGAUUACAAAUUUAUACAUACAACGUAUUCCCAAUAUUAAAAAGAUAUUUCUUUUUAUUAACGUUAGAACGGUUAGGUUUUACCCGAUAAGAUAAAGAUAUGCUUACCGAGGAUGACUUUUCUUAAACUAUAGACAGACCAACAUAUAGACGUUAGCAUAUAUUAGACAAUAAAACAAUACAACUUACCUUAGGUAGGGCGUAUUUGAGUUGCUAAUACUUUCACUUUACGCAACUAGUCCCCGUGCCCGAUCUCUGAGACCAGUUAGGGUUCCUAGUGACCAAAACACUAGGUGACGACUUUCAUUCCAUCAUUCCACCGAUAAAAGACAAGAAUUCUCUGAGUGGACAAUCAUCGCGACGCCGCAUACGUGCGACAACAUGAAAGUCAUAUUGUAUGGAAUUUGUAUGAUGUGUUUCUUGAGAGAAAGCUUGUAUUAUUCAAAAUAAACUUUUAUUAAGUGUAAAUUAUUUAAAAUAAUAAUAAUUUUAUUCAGAACCUUUAUAAAUCUAUACAUAUAAUUAAAUCUAAUCAUAUAAUUUUUUUAAAAAAUUAUUUGAUUGCUGUCUUGCGCUUCUAUUAUCGUGGAAUUAAGUAAAAUAUGAUUUUAUAAAAUAAAGUUGUUAGACCUCACUGAGUCAUUUGUUUGGCAUGUAUACUGGAGUUGAUUCAAGAUAUCAUCGUCUUAAUAUUUGAAGAACAAUGUUAAAAUGUUGAUGUCUUCAAUUCUUUCUAGUCAAACUAGAUUUUUACUAGGUCGAUUAGAUCAAACUUUAACUUACUUAGUUGAUUGGAUCAUAUAAAAGUAAAAUCUAACCCAAUUUAGCUUAACACCUAAGCUAGGAGAGGGCUAAACUCAAAAUGUCUAUGAUUUUAAUUGAAAUUCAUUAAAACAUUAACAACACCUGUAAAUACAUUUUUCUUUUUGCCAUCAAAUUUAAUUUUUUAUCAUACCUACAAUGUAGCUUGGUUAAGUUAAUUAUGGAUCAUCUUACUACUUUUGUUUUUCAAAUUUUGUCAAGAAAUACUGCUAAAACACAUAUUAGCAACAAUUAUAUAUAUAUAUAUAUAUAUAAAUUAAUCCUACCUCAUGCAAAACACGUGCCACUAGCUAGGUUAAUUUAAAGCACCACUUGCUUUGCGGUAUUGGAGAGAAUGUAGUCAUCAUAGAUUCUGUUUGGAAAACUGAUCUUCGAAGAGAUUAGGAGCUGGAUAUUGUCUUCCUCUUCCUCUUUUUUAAUAUUUAUCUAUAUCAUAUUCCUCGUCUUAUUCUUCACCACUGUAAAGGGAUAUUUGAAAGGAAAAAAAAAUUGUAAAGUUUUAUUGUGUUUUUACUUUCCCGUCAUAUAUAGUUUUAAAAAAUACAUUUAAAAUCCUAGGUCAAAUAAAAAUUUAAAAAUAAUAAUAAGAAAAUAUUAUCAUAUAUAAUAUAACACAAAUAAUAACUAUAACUAUGAUAUCAAUGUUCACUAGGGUUCCAGAUUAUAGCUAUUUGAUUAUAGAAUUAAAAAGUGAGUCAGCCAGAAGGUAGUUAAUUGGCAUUUCACAGACAUAAAAUGGGUGUUUAUAAGUGAGGUGGUAAUUAUUUUUUAAAGUGUUUUUUGACUUGAAAAUGCAUCAAAAUAAUAUUUUUUAUUUUUAAAAGAUUAAUUUUGACAUUAACACAUCAAUAAUUUGAAGUAAAGAAAAAAAUAAUUUUUUUUUUUUAAAAACCUUUUGAAAUAUAAAAACAAAUAGCCAUAAUAACAAGCAAAACAUCAGAUGCAGUUAAUGAUUCUUAUAAGAUUUAAUCAAUUAUUUUUGGAACACGACAGUUAAAACCUUUGAAAUUGAAGCAUGCACCAUAAAAUGAUGAUGAUGGCCUUGCUGAACUGAACCAGAUUGCCUCAGGUUGUGGCUUACGUCGCCUUGCGUUGUGAUAGGAAAGACGUCUACGACAGCUUCGCUUCUUGUCAUCAAACUCUGACAAUUCACGGAACCUAAACAAAUUUUGCAUCCUAAAUGCAGCAGCAGCAGCAGACUUUAGCCGUAGAUAAUAACAUCAGAAAGCUUAGCAAAAGCAACAAAGCUAAAUCAUGGAGAUUAAAAAUGAAUAAUUACUAAGAAUUCCCCAAGAAUCAAGAUUCAUGAGAGUGUUACGUAUCUGGAUGACAGAAUAGUGGGAGAUGUUGCAACAAGAAAAAGACUACUAUGGGGAGGCAAGAAGGAGCGGGAAGUAGAGACGCCAGGAGCACACAACCUGCUGUUUAGUUAUUAAUAUUCUUUUAGUUAGUUGGAGUACAUUCGGUUAGCAGAGUUUGUUAAUCACUUUGAGUUAGUUGGAUUAGUACAAUUUCGAUUUCAUUUCUCUCUUCUCUGCUAAUAUCAUUCUGCUUCUUAGCCUCAUCUUCUUGAUUUGUUAAGUGAUCUUAACAAUUGAUAUCAGAGCCUUAAGAUCUAACACUAUGAUGAAAAAUCAUAAGCUGAAAAACAUUGAAGAACACUGCAAGAAAUUGGAGGAGCGAAUGCAAAUCCUUCAACAAGAACUCUAAGAAUCCCUGGUCGAUCAACAAAACAAAUGGCAGGAACAACUCGGUGAACAAUUAAAGUUGGAAGACUAAUUAGAUUAGUGCUCAAAUUGAAACACUGUCGAAUCAAUUUCAAACAUUCCUUGCUCAUCAGAUGACAGGGAAGGAUGUGGGAAGCACUUCUAGAGGAAUCUUACAGGCACUAGCAAGCGGCAGUCUUGAAGGAAUGUUAUCAAGGGGAAAAGGUCCUGCUAGGGGAGAUCAAACUUAUGGCCAGGAGCAGUAGAGAGUGGUGCAUAAUGCUGCUCUUCCAAGGAUGGAUCUGACAACAUUUCGAGGAGAUAAUCCUAGGGGUUGGUUAAGGAGGUGCAAGAAGUUUUUUAGCCUCAACUCAACUCCAUUUCAGUAGUGGGUAGAACUAGCAUCUAUUUACUUGGAAGGAAAGGCAUAAAUCUGGUUUGAAGGCUAUAUGCGUGGGGUAAUUCACUGGUUACUAUGCGCACAACACAGUAACAAGCUAUCUAUGGGCCGAUUCUGGCCUAGUUUCUUUUGGGCUAGGCCAGGCCCAGUUUUUUUGGGAUUUGUACUAUUUCCUCGCGUAUUUUUAUGCCUUUUUUAUUAAUUAGUAUUGGAAUAUAUUUUUAUGUCAUUAAAAAUACAAAAUCUGGUAUUAAAAUACCCGGUUUUCGUCAAAACUUCCAAAAAUACAAAAAAAAUUGAAAAUAGAAAAAAUGUUUUUGUGCAUACGGCCAAGAGUCUCAAAGCUAAAAAAAAUCAUAUUGUGUUUUUCAUACACCAAAAAACAAUGUUUUAGCAUGCAUUUUGGCUUUAAUAACCAGUUUAUUAAAGUCCAGAGAACAUUGACCAAAAUUUAAAAAACAACAAAAAUUUUAUUUUGUUUUGUUUUAAUAUCAGGGAUUAUGAAUUUAUACGUAAAACGUAUUCCCGAUAUUAAAAAGGUAUUUUCUUUUGACAACAUAGAACAGUUAGGUUUGUACCCGAUAAGAUAAGAACCUUCUUAUUGAAGAGGGCUUUUCUUGACCCUUUAGACGGACCAACAAUUAGAAAACACAACAAGACCAUAAUUUUUAUCAAACAUUAAAACAAUGCAGCUUACCUUAGGUAGGGCGUAGUGGGGGUGCUAAUACCUUCCCUUUACGCAACCAGUCUCCGUACUCGAUCUCUGAGACUAGUUAGGGUUCCUAGUGACCAAAAUACUAGGUGGCGACUCCCAGUCCAUAUUUUACUGAUAAGAGACAAGAAUUCCUUGUCUCUCCAUAUUUGCCAGACAGACCUUUACCAUUUUCGUUGUGAAUGGUGGACGAUCGUCGCGACGCCGCACACGUGCGACAAUAUGGUUGGUGGGGCAGUUUUUUCUGGUAGAGGUAACAACAAUACCACAUCAGGUACUUGCUAAUGCAGAAAUAACAAGGUUAUUGGCAGACUAUGCAGUUGCUUUUCAAGAACCAACAUCAUUGCCACCUACCAGGAAACAUGAUCAUAGAAUUCCACUAACAACAGGAGCUCAACCCGUUAAUUGCAAACCAUAUAAGAGCUCUUUCUUUCAAAAGGGGGAGAUCGAAAUGAUGGUCAAGGAGAUGCUACACAACAACAUAAUACAACCCAAUGUUAAUCCCUUUGCCUCUUCUAUUCUUUUGGUGAAGAAGAAGGACAACACAUGGCGUUUUUGUGUAGACUUUCGACUGCUGAAUGAAAAAAUUUCUUAGUAUUCUUUGACGAUAUUCUCAUUUAUAGUUCCUCUCUAAAAGAACACAUCAGUCAUUUGAAGCAAGUCUUGGACACUCUUAAAACUAACCAACUGUAUGCGAAGAGAUUCAAGUGCACAUUUGCAGAGCCGCAAGUAGAGUAUUUGGGGCAUAUAAUUUCAGCUGAAGGGGUAGCCACUAAUCCUAAGAAGAAACAGGCAGUACAGGAGUGGCCAAUUCCAAAAUCCAUUAAGAAGCUAAGGGGAUUCCUUGGCCUAGCUGGUUAUUAUUGAAAAUUCAUUAGGAAAUUUGGUAUUAUUAGCAAGCCUUUGACAAAUAUGCUCAAGAAGAAUAACUUCAUUUGGCAUGAAGGAGCACUAGAGGCUUUUCGCAACCUGAAACAAGCAUUGUGUAAGGCUUCAAUCAUGGCCUUGCCGGACUUUACCAAACCGUUUGUGCUGGAACCAGACGCUUGUGAUACUGGAAUUGGAGCAGUACUUAGCCAGGAAGGAAGACCAUUAGCAUUUUUUAGCAAGGCCUUGGGAGUCAAACACUUGAGGCUAUCCAUUUACGAGAAGGAAUACCUUGCUAUUCUAAUGGCAGUCGACAAGUGGAGGCAUUACUUGGAACAAGAUCAGUUUGUCAUUCAAACUUAUCAUGAAAGUCUGACGUAUCUACUUGAUCAGAAAAUUCACACUCCUAUUCAAAAGAAGGGGCUAACUAAGCUAUGGGGGUUGAAUUAUCGGAUCAGGUACAGAAAAGGAAAGAAGAAUAAGGCUACAGAUGCCUUAUCUAGGAGGAAUAUACAGGGGGAAGAAGGUUGUCAAGGAAAUAAAAUGGAAGGGGGAAGGUUCACCGCCAUAACACAAAUAACUCCCUCCUGGUAUGACAAGAUUUAUGCCUCUUAUAAAGACGAUGCCAAGUUGCAGGAUAUAAUGAGGAGUAAACUGGUAGAUGCUGCACAAUCUCUCAACUUCAUAUGUUGAAGGAGUGAUUAAGUAUAAGGGGAGAGUUGUUAUAGGAUCUGCAGGGUUAUUAAAGGAAGAACUCAUCAAGUCUACCUAUGAUUCCUACAUUGGAGGACAUGCUAGGAUCCAAAAUACAUACAGACGACUUAAGGCUCACUUCUACUGGCCUUGUAUGACGAAAUUAGUGCAAGAAAUAGUUCAACACUGUGACAUUUGUAAACAAGCUAAGGCCGAAAGGGUCCCUUAUCCUGGAUUGUUACAGGCUCUUCCAGUUCCAAGUGGUUCUUGGCAGGAUAUAACCAUGGAUUUCAUAGAAGGAUUUCCAAGGUCAGAAGGCAAGGAUACCAUUAUGGUCAUUGUUGAUCGAUUUACGAAGUAUGGGCAUUUUAUCACAUUAGCCCAUCCCUUCACAGCUCAAGAGGUGGCUAAAUUUUUUCUGGAUCACAUUUAUAAGUUACAUGGCUUGCCUGCCACAGUAUUAACUGAUAGAGAUAAAAUUUUCACAAGCUUGUUCUGGAGAGAAUUGUUUAGACAUUUGGGCAUAAAGUUGUUACUAAACACCUCCUAUCAUCCUCUAACGGAUGGUCUGACCGAGAGGGUGAAUCAAUUCCUAGAGACUUACCUAAGGUGCAUCACUAUACAUUGUCCCAAAAGUGGAACACUUGGAUAUCGACAGCACAAUGGUGGUACAACAGUAGCUUCCACUCGGCUAUCAACAUGUCCCCAUUGCAAGCAUUAUAUGGAUAUGAACCCCCGGUAAGGGAGAUGGUACUCAUUGAGGCUACUCAAGUAGCUAUUGUGGAAGAAUGGAUGCAGAGAAGGCUUAAUAUGGAUCAGUUGAUCAAGGGGCUGUUGGAGGGGGUGAGGAAUAGAAUGAAACAGGUGGCAGAUAGGAGGUGUUCGGAAAGGACAUUCAUGGUGGGAGAUUGGGUCUUCCUAAAAAUUCAGCCUUACAGGCAGGGCAGUGUCAUGUACAGGAAGAAUUUCAAGCUAAAUCCCAGGUAUUAUGGCCCUUACCAAGUUAUUGAACGGAUUGGAGCUGUAGCUUACAAGCUCAAGUUACCAGAGGGGCGUGCAGUGCAUCCUGUGUUCCAUGUAUCGCUAUUAAGAAAGAAGGUGGGAGAGGUGGCCAUAGUUUCCCAAGCCCUGCGGAUCGUAGAUGAAGAAGGCAGAGUUAAGGUUUAUCCAGUCACCAUACUAGAAAGGAAGCUUAUGAAGAAAGAUAAUAGAGCCGUGGUGGCAGGCUUAAUUCAAUGGUCUAACUCAUUUCCUGAAGAUGCAACAUGGGAAGAAUUGACAGAAAUACAAUUGCAAUUUCCAGAAUUCAGUAUUGACCCUUAAUUGUCAAGAUUGUAGAUUCUUGAGCCAAGAAUCUUUUCGAGGAAGAGUUAUUGUUACGUAUCUGGAUGACAGAAUAGUGGGAGAAGUUGCAACAAGAAGAAAACUACUAUGGGGAGGCAAGAAGGAGCGGGAAGUAGAGACGCCAGGAGCACACAACCUACUGUUUAUUUAUUAAUAUUCCGUUUGUUAGUUGGAGUACAUUUAGUUAGAGUUAGUUGGAUUAAUCUGUUAGUAGUCAAUGUGGAUUACUAUGAAAGCACAUUGUAUGGAUUAUAUUGGAUAUGAAUAGAUUGCAGUCCAAUUUUGAUCUCAUUUCUCUCUUCUCUGCUAAUAUCAUUCUGCUUCUUAGCCUCAUCUUCUUGAUUUGUUAAGUGAUCUUAACAGAGAGAACCUGCCUGCUGCACUUUUUUUUGGAUUCCUGAAAAGGAUUUGUGUUCAAGAAUUCAUUAUGAAUGAUAAUUUUGUUAUUUUGAGAUUCCAAAGAGUUUUUAGUCAUUAAAAUAAUAAACUUGUAAAUAAGGAGAUAUAUUUUGUUGGCUUUUUUUUUUAAAAGGAUAUUAAAGGUAAAUGCACAUAUAAAAUUUAUGAUAUAAAAUAUAAUUUUUCAAACCAUAAUAAAAAAUAUAUAUAAUUGCGACCAAACCUAAGAAAAUCUUUUGUGAUUAUUGGUAAGAAUAAAUAAGAGCAUGGAUUAAUGGUAAAAAGAGAAUCACGUAUUAAACACAAAAGAUAAAUUAUUUUGAAUUCAACAAUUUAACAUGACAUGGAAGGAACAUGCAAUAGAGAGAGGAUCUAAUUUAACAUGUCGUACACAAUAAUAACUUAAUAUAUAGCUUCUUCUUUUUUUCUUUUUAAUUUUGGUACAAUAAAAAGCUCUUCAAAUAUGUAGAAUAAAAGCCCAAUCUACUUAGAUAUAACAUAUUUAGAGUAUGAGAUGAGAUCAGCUUAUACUGCAAAUAGUUUAUUACUGAGUUAUUGCGUAAUAAAUUAAUUGGAAUAGAGAGCAUGUAUCCCAUCAAUAUCAUCCUGAGCGAGAUCUCUUUUCUUCUUUCCAGGUGCUAUCGUUGGAUACAUGAUGGCUUCGGGAUGAUCUUUACUAUGAUAAAGGCCAAGCAGAUGUCCUAUUUCAUGAACAGUAACGGAUUCCAGGUCAGUUUGAUCCAUUGCGGGGUCAGUGCUCCAGUUCUCGUCUGCAUCGUAAUGGAGACGGCCGUCUUGUGGAAAAAAACCAUGAGCCAGUUGUUUCCCUGGUCCAUCAAAAGGAUCCUGAUCCCCAUGAUCGCCGCUGAAGAACUCAAUUACAAUAUCUGCUGAUGCACCGUCAGUCGCCUCCUGGAAAGUGAAUGGAGAAACCUUUGCCCAUGUUUGGAAAGCGUUUGAGCAGACCGACCUCAAGGUGUCCGAACCAACAACUUGGACACCCGAGCCAAAUCUGUAGGUCAGAGCAUACUUGGAAGGUGGCCACUUUCGUGUCCCGAAAUCAUAAUGAACAACCAUGUGGAACUUGUUGUGUUUUGAUGUAGUGCUGUUCGGUUUAGUGGACGGAGUGUUUAUGAUAUCAGGCAUUCCACAUCGUGGAAUCAUCAUUUGUUGUAUGGUACUAGAGUCAAGGUUACCAGUAACAUUCAGGUGAAAAUAUUCUUGGUAUGUUUUGAGUGCUAGCUCCAAGUGGUCAUCAAAAUCACUGCUUGUGAGAGUGAUAUCACUUGGGUAGUACCCAAACUUUUUGAGGUACUGUUUGAGCUCAACAAGCCCUUGCACAGUUUGGCCCUUUUGAACCCCCUCCAGCCCUUGAAGGAAGCUGCUAAAAGAUUGCCGAUGCUCGGGUUUCAAGGUUCUUGCCUGACCUCUGAAGGACUGGAUAGAAAAGAUAACGAGGAUUGCUGAUAAAAGUUGGGAAAGUUUAGGAGCCAUAUCGUUUGUUGUUUCGGAGAAUGGCUAAAGACGUGGGUUGUGGCUUUCAAUUCUAGUAUCGGAUGGCUAUUUAUAGACAUAUAGUAUGUUGUAUUGGCAUUAGGACUAUAGAAUAUGUCUUGAGAUUUACGAGUGUCCUUAUUUUUGUUAAUUCUGAUUACUUACUUUCAAACUACGUACAUUUGUCCAUCAAGCAUCUAAUUGAUUUAUUUUCUUUCAUAGUAAUCAAUGAAAUUACUAUCUAAAUAUUUGAGUUUAACUUUCAUUUAUAUGGUUAUUAUUAGAUAUCAUUAGCCAACAAAAUCAACAACUUCUACUAUUGAGAAAGUACAUCUCUCUAACCCUGAGGGAUGUAGCUUAACGGGUCAGGUCCUGAGUUUGCUCCCCAGAUGUCACCAGUUCGAGUUCCACAAAUCUCAAGGCUACUAGAGACUUACAUGAUCGUUAACUUCAAGACCCGUGAGAUUAGUCGAGGUGCGCACAAUUAAGUUGGCCCGGACACCCACGUUAAUCCAAAAAAAAAAAGAGAAAGAAAGUACAUCUCUCUUCGGUGUCCCAUAAAUUUAAAUUAUUAAAUGACUAAUCCUAAAUUGAAUCAAAUUUUUAUUUAUCAUUUCAAUAAUUUUAUUUUCAUCAUUGUUAGUCUUGAAUGAUUAAAUAUAGUAUUUUUUUUUUAAUAUAUCAUUUUUUAUUUAAUUCAUUUAAAUAAUGUCGUUGAGAAGGAGCACUCAAAAAAUAAAUGAUCAUGAAUUUCCACGUGUAAACCACACAAGAUACAUAUGGCAGAGAUGAUGAUCUAAAAAGUCUAUAGCUUGUUCAUAAUGUGUAGACGACCCAAAAAGGCAAGCCAUAAGAUAAAGGAGUGUCGUAGGACAUGUCCUGGAAACUAUAAAAGAUGGUGCAUAGUAUUCUUGGGCCUAGUAUCUCGAAGUACCUCCCAAGCUGAAUCAAUAAUGAACCUCCCCAUAUAAUGACUUGUCUAGACAUAGUGAUUCGAAGAGCUAACUGGAGGUGAAAUCUAAUGCAGUCCCAGAUUUGCUGGAGGUCCUAACUAUCUAAAGAAAAGUCCCAACCACCAUCCUUAAUAAUGUCUGAAACCUUUGCAUACCAAGACAAUCCAGUAGAUGAUGAAGUCAAGAANNNNNNNNNNNNNNNNNNNNNNNNNNNNNNNNNNNNNNNNNNNNNNNNNNNNNNNNNNNNNNNNNNNNNNNNNNNNNNNNNNNNNNNNNNNNNNNNNNNNNNNNNNNNNNNNNNNNNNNNNNNNNNNNNNNNNNNNNNNNNNNNNNNNNNNNNCAUGCCAAAAAUGACCUCCCUCUGAGCAAUACAAAAUGAACCAAAGCUGACCAAACUGACAAUCUGUUUGAAAGUAGCCUCUAAAUAUGCUUAACAAUAGCUGCUGUUUUGUUCCAAGUCUUAACCCUUUUAAUCCUAAGCCCACCCUCCUGCAAAGGAUAGCAAACCAAAUCCCAAGCCACCUUUACCCUUAAAGGGGAAGUAGAUGAACCCUUCUAGAGAAAAACAACUAGCAUGCCCUCAAUCUUCCUAAGAAAGGAUAAACAUAGUAGACUAGGGGUGUGCAAAAAAACCAAUAAACCGAGUAAACCGAGAAAACUGAUGAAAAAUUAACCGAAAAAACCGAACCGAGAAAAAAAACCGAUUAAACCGAUUAGAAUAUUUAGAAAAAAUUCUGGUUCGGUUCGGUUUUCGGUUUUGUAAUGCAGAAACCGGUUAACCCGGACCGAACCGAACCAGUUCAAAAAAAGGUCCCUAACCACCACUAGUAUAAAUAGAAACUUUUCCCCUCUUACCUAACCCUAACAAACUAAAAAUCACUCGUCGUCCCACCCCCUCUCCCUCUCUGCUAACCCUAACCAGAGCACCCACCCCAGUACUAUAGGCUCUCCCUCUCGCCUCUCCAAAAUAUUUUAGCCUAUCGGACAAGUUCUUGAGAGAACUCAGACAAGUUCUUUCGUUUAGUACGAGUACAUCACAGAAGCAUCAAUGGGUAAGCAUCAAUUUCCUCUCCUCUCCUUUUGUUUUUGGGUGAUGGGUUUUUGUUGAUGAGGUGAUUAGUCGUGUUUUAUUUCAGUUUUCAAGGAUUUUUGAUGUGGGAUCUGUGUGUUUCUUAUUUACCUUGUCAUUGGUCAUGGUUCUUCUUCAAGAAACCAACUUCUGGUUUUAUUGGCUGGUUUUGUUCUCAUAGUUUUUUUUGCCUUUUCCUCUUCAAAAUUUUUAAUUUCUACAGAGGUCAACAUGAGCUUUUCAAAUGACAUGGAUGAUGAAUAUGAGAAACUCUUUAGGAGAUUGAAUCCACCCAGGUAUGUAUUAUGCAGAUUCAUCAUCUUCUUUUUUUAAUUUUCUAAGUGAGAGUGACCUUAAAUUUUUCCCAUCAAGGUGUUAUUUAAAAUAACUUUGGUGUGUACACAUUCUAAUUUUCUUGAUUAUCCCGAUGUGCUCUGUAUAUAAUUCCUUUUGGUGUCUUGCAGGUUUUGUUAUUGAUGCAGAACCUUACUGUUAACUUGUCUAGCCCUGAUUUUGAGCCAUAUAUAAGUGUUAAUGUUUUGUAAGUAUGUUCAUAACAGCUCUUACCAGCAUGCAUGUAUAUUGCCACUUAUUUUGGCUUAUUGAAAGAAUUCAUAAAUGUGAUGAUAUAUUGCAACCAUAAUCUGAGUAUUAUGGCAAAGCUGAGGUUUCAUUCAAUGCUAAAGUUUCAACAUGUUAGAUUUUGAAGUGAAAACAGAUUUACAUCCAUUUUGUUCAGUUCUUUUUCUCUUCUUUUUUUUUAUGUCAGGGUUAUGAUUGAUAAUGAAGCUUGCAAGAAUGCUACUGUCAUAAGGGUACGAGUUUUGGUGUCUUUUUUUGGUGGGUGUGUGCUCUUCAGUCUUGCCCAUCAUUCUUGUUGUUUUUUGGGUACUAAAUAUUUCAUUGUGUUACAGGUUGAUAGUGUUAACAAACAUGGAAUACUUCUUGAAGUUGAUAGUGCUAACAAAAUGUGUUUAGGGAUGACCGCUUUUGCAAUUGAUUUUUUGGCUCAUGGAUUUAUGGAUUCUUUUGUAGGAAUAUUAUAUCAAGCAUAUUGAUGGGUCCCCUGUAAAAUUAGAGGUUAAGAGACAAAGGAUUAUACAAUGUCUUGAAGCAGCCAUUGAAAGAAGAGUAUCCGAGGUGAGUGAACUAUGGUACCUUCAAAUCUGAGAUUGUUCUUAAGGUUUACUCAUAAAACUCUCCUUGUUUUUACCAAAAUCAUGCAUCCAGCUACUAUGGUUUCAAGUUGUUCUGUGUUCCUUUCCUUGCUAUCAAAAUGCAGAUCUAUCAUAUAAUUGUAUUGAUUAUGUUGUUACUUGGGCAAUGGUGAGUUGGGUGAAGUUUAUAUACGGAAGAGGUGAUUUUAUUGCAAUGAUAAUGAUUGCAUGUUAAGAUAUGACUGGUGUCACUCACCAGUUAAAACACUCUUGCUAUUUUAUAUUCCAUGCCUUAUGUUUAGUUUCUUCUUUUUUGGUGGUAGAUGAUGAUGCAUUGAUUCUGUUAGGAAUUCACUCGCAUGCCUGUGCAGAAUGCUCCAUUCAAAUGACAGCUUGCUAUUGGGUUUUCUUGGUGUACUAAUAUCAACUUGUUGGGAACAACUGAUAGCAUGAUAGCAAAGGUUUAUUACAUAUCUUUUGUGUUUUAUGAUAAUGGUAUUUGUUGUUUUUUCUUUAAACCCUUUGAAGGCAAUGGUUUGUAAUUUGAAUUUUAACUUAUUAGUGUGUGAUUGUGAGUGUGUUAUUUAAAUUUUUUGGAAGCAGAAAAAUAUUAGGAAGGUAAAAAAUAUAUUGAACACAAGAUUGACAUUAAUAAUUUCAUAUAAAUGAAUAUUCAGUGGCAAAAAAACUUAAUAAACAUAAGAGUGACAAUAAUAAUUUAAUACAAAUGAAUAUUUAGGGGUAAAAAAAUUAAAUAUACUUUUGGAUCUUCAAAGAAAAUUAGACAAUAUCAACAUUAAUUGCAAGCCCAUCAAAAAUCCAUUAAAAACCCAUAAUAAAGCCCAUUACGAAGCCCAAAAAAAUGCAUAUAGGUUUUUUCAGUUUUGGGCAUCAGAAACCGAACCGAAACCGGUCGGUUUGGGCCGGUUUCGGUUCGGUUUCGGGUCUUUUUUUUUUUCGGUUUGGUUGUUUUUUAUGGGUAAAAACCGAACAAAACCAAAAAUGAUCACCCCUAUAGUAGACCAAUAUACUUGGAUAGAAAAGAGAACGAAUUUGAUCAGCUACAAAUGACCAGCAUAUGUAAGAGAUGUCGAAGUCCAUAACCUGAUCUUAGAGAGAAUCUGCUCAACUAAAGCCAUGCAGUCACUAUGUUUUAGUCGGGUAGUAAUCAAAGGAACCCCCAAGUAUCUGAUUGGCGAGGAGCCCAACCUGAAACACAAGAGAUCGAAAAUAGAUGCUUUCAAAUCAUCAUCCAUACCUGAUAUAAAAACAUGAAUCUUCUCUAGGUUGAUCACCAGCCUUAAUAACACAACAAAGUCAUCCAGAACCCUCCUUACAAAACCCAUUGAAUCUAUGUUUGCCUGGCAGAAUAUCAUAAGGUCAUCAUCAAAGCAUAAAGAGUAAUAUUCUCGUGCUGACACCUCCGAUGAUAGUGGUAUCUCUAGUCCUGAGCAACCUUUCUAAGAAUACAACCAAGCCCUCCAUAGCCAGCACAAACAAAGUUAGCUACGCGCCCGCUUUGGUUGCAAGACAGCUUGGGGGUAUACAACAUGUGCCAAGGAUGACUAAACUAUCACAAUUCUUUGGGUUAUUUAAAGACCAAUCUGCUUUAGAAGUCAUGAAAAACAUCAAGCAAGAUUGGAAGCUUCUGGUAUUGAUAAAAAAAAAAGGAAUUAAAUGGUUUGAGAGAUCCAGUUACUAGUGAAAAAUACCCGAGGUGGAGAAAUCUAUCAUUGAUGACUUUCCUCAUGAAUCUCGAAUUCAAAACCGAAACUUCACAAGCCACUGAACUAAAUAAGAGAAAAAGGAUUAACAACGAGGAAGAGUUAAGAGAACAAUGGAAAAGGUCCAAGUAUAAUUGGGCACCAGUAAAGCCCUCAGGAUGUCCCUUGAGGAACAAUUCUUCAUUGAAGAGAAACUAAGGAAGUUUGUGGAGUAACAGUUGAUGGAAAAAGAUAAAAGAGUCGUGUCUUUAGAGAAGCAGUUGAGAGAGGAAAAAGUGGCUAGAAACCGAGCUGAGAAAGAGCGAAGAGAAUUGAGAACAAGUUGGAUGCAAAACAAUACCAAAUUUGAGACAUUGAAAGCCGAUUUCAAUUAUUGCCAAGAAAGAGUUGAACAACAAACAUUCCAAUGACUCAUUCAAUUAUGUAUGCUUAAGUGCCGAUCAUAAUAGAUCUAACUAUGGGGAAAUCCCAUGGGUUUAAAUCUUUUGGUCACCCUAAACAAGAUAAGUGGGUUGCUUGAGAGGAGAGGUUUAGAGUUGUUGAGGAAUUUGACGUCUAUGACCUGGUUAGAAUAACUAAGAUAUACCUAGUACCAAAUGUAAUGGUACCCAAGGAGUUUGGAAUGCCAGAAUUCGUCAAGUACAUGAAGUUAGAAUGCCUUAAUACACACCUGAGGUCAUAUUACAAAAAAAUAACGGAGGUCAUACAUAAUGACAAGUUGAUCAUCCAUUUCUUCCAAGACAACUUGACUAGUUCGGCAUUAAGCUGGUAUAUGACUUUAGAUAAUACAAGGGCUAAGAAAUUGAGUGAUCUCGUUGAUGCCUUUUUAAGGCAAUUCAAAUUCCAUAUUGACAUUGCUCUGGACCGAACGAGUUUAAUAGUGAUGGAUAAGGGAAACAAAGAAACAGUGAGGGGGUAUGCUCAUAGAUGGAAAAACAAGGUAAUGCAUGUAUAACCAUUUUUGUUAGAAAAAGAAAUGGUGACUUUAUUCGCCAAUACUUUCAAAUCUUUGUAGUAUGAGUGCUUGAUGGGUAGCUCUGCCCAACACUUUUAUGAUGUCGUGGUUAUUGAUGAGAGAAUAGAGUAAGGAAUAAGAGCCGACAGAAUAUGAAAACCAACCACGAAGAAAGGUUUUACUAGGAGGAAAAAAGAUGUUGAGGUAAGCAAUAUAGAAGAAGGGUACAUGGGUAAAAAGGAUUUCCAAACCCAAAGCUAUCACAUCCAAACCUAUUAAGCCUUGUCUCUUAAAGUACACAAUAUAAGCUUUGCCAAGUCUUUCCCAGUAAACUAGCCCACCAACCUAUCAAAAAACCAAACUGAAAACAACCCAAAAAGAACAUACCAAAGAAACCAAGAACAACUCCCACCUUUACCAAUACCUCUAGGGAAAAUGUAUGCAAAACGGUUAAGUAUAGGUCAUGUGACCCCUCUUCCUUUUCCACCAUUUAAACCUCCCUUUCCAAGUUGGUAUAAGUCAGAAUUGACCUAUCACUACCAUGCUAGAAAUCUUAGCCACAUCAUACACUUGCUCAGCAUUUAAGAAGAAGCUCUUGCAAUUAUUCAAGGCAGGGUGAAUAACUUUUAAAGAUACCCCAACAUCAAUUUCAACCCUUUACCCAAUCAUGCUUCUAGUAGUGGAGGAGUAAACAUUGUGGAGUAUGAAGGGAAGAAAAAGCAAGUUUUAAGGGUAAACAUGGAUAAGCUAUAAGACAUGUUGUUGUAAGCCGAGUAUUUUCCAGUAAAAAAUGGAUCAGGUCCAAAAAAGGAUGAUGGUUUUGGUAGGUUCCACAAAGCGAUGGGACAUAACAUUGAGGGAUGUGAGGAGUUUUAGCAGAAGGUGAUAUAAUUGAUAACUUUUGAUCCUUUACAAAUAAAGAAGGAGGAAGAGGAUGAUGUGUGGGCAUGAUAAGUUUAUUAGGGAAGAAAGUAGAAGUGUGUAGGAUCCACCGUACUGAGAGUGGUCCACUAAAACUUGUUUUGACAAGAGCUACCUUUUGAGGAAAAGUUGUUGACCAUACACAUUUUUUAUUCUUCUGAUUCUAGAAAAACCAAAGCAAACACCCAUCAAGAUGGAUUGAAACUCCUUUAAAUAGUGUUUUUUAUUGCUUAAAUCUCUUUCAAAACAACUUUGUAAUGGCUAUAAAGUGAAGAAAAUGGUUUUUAUGAUGGUUUUUUUAGUGGUUUGAUGAAAAAUUUGGGUCUAAUGUAUGGUGUACAUGGUAGAAUAAGUGAAGGGUAGUUUAUGUUCUUAUAUAAGCCUUGGCUCAUUAAUGAAGCUCAAUUAUCUUUAGCUUUUUAUGCCACUAUUUGAACAUAUAAUGGCCUUAAACUGCUGGUUAAUAACUUUAUUUGAUUGAUUAAGUCAUCUCUUUAGGUCUAGGUAUAUGAUAUGACCCAUCACUUUAUUGGACUAAAAAAGGAUAGGUCAAACCUUAAGAAGUCUAAUUGACUUAACUACCCCAUAACAUACUAGUCUUCAGAUUAAACCUAAGGUUUCCACAUAGCCUAACAUAAUAACACACUCGAGUAGAGGGACAAACCAACUCCAAAACACAAGUUAGAAUAGGAAGGGCGUAACCCAAAAUUAUUCUAUCCACUCUCUCUAUAGUUGAUAUCAAGCGUUAAAUGCUCUCAUGUCCUCCUAUUAUAAUUAGGCUCAUAGAUUGGUGUUAGGGAUGCCCAUAGCCAGUGGAUAACCCAUAUGAUAUCAUUUCUUUACUCAAUAGUGAAUCACCAACCACAAGAAUGUUAUCCUAAGUAAUUACAACUAAUGUAGGUUUCAUAUUAUUUUCCCCUCACUUUAUCCUUAAUUCCAUGCAAGUUGGCAUGAUUUAUGGCUAUAUAAAUAUCCAUGAAUCACCGGGUAAGGCAAGUUCCAAUAACAUAUUUCUUAGUGCAUAUUUUUCCUCUUCGUAAUUACAUAUCAUUACGACCCUAUUUGGGGUUGCGUUUGCACCAGAAUUUUAGUAAAUUUUGAAAUUUCUUUCUUCAAAUUAAUUUUUUUAUGUAUUUUUAGAUCGUUUUGAUGUGCUAGUGUCAAAAAUAAAUUAAAAAAAUACAAAAAUAUAUUAUUUUGAUGAAUUUCCAAACAAAAAACAAUUUAAAAAGCAACCUCAACCACACUUCCAUAUCUCCUUUAAAUUUAGCAAACAAAUAUACUACACAACUUGAAAGGCUUUAUUCCUUUUAUAUUUGUGAUAACUUAAGUAUUUGAGGAUCUUUCACGCUAAAAAAUAAUUCAGCUCGUAGGGUCUCAACCGUUGGGAGCUCUCCAUUAGUAUCGAGCACCCAGUCUGAGGAGUUCAUUGCCUUGAAACAACAAUAUCAACAACUCUCGACGAAUUAUGAUGAGCUCCGUCAAAUAGUCAUGGAGAUGAGAUCAAAGAUGGGUGAUGAUACUUGUGUAGCUCCUUUUUGGCCGUACGGUCCCGGGUACAACCGGCCUCCUCCUCCUCCUCCAGCUCCGCCGCUAUUUUAGUUUAAUUUUGUUUUUUAAACACAUUAAAUUUGUUAUGAAUAUUUGGAUGAAUAUUAUUUAACAUUAUUUUUAUAUUUUUAAUGUUUAAUCCAAUUUUAUUUGUUUAUUAAGCUUUUUUACUAUUAAUUAAUUUUUUUUAUAUUUUAAAUACAUAUCGACGACUUUACCGACGGAUAAUUUCCAUCGGUAUUUCACAGAGAGUUGCCAAACAAUUACCACCCAUGCCAUAAUUACCGACGGAUAUAUUCCGUCGGUGAUUAAAUACAUAUGGAUUUAUCGACGGAUAAUUUCCAUCGGUAUUUCAUAGAGAGUUGCCAUAGCAAUUACCACCGAUGCCAUAAUUACCGACAGAUUAUCCGUCGGUAAUUACCAUUGAAAAUUCAGACGGAUUUAGUCCGUCGGUAAUGUUCUCGCGGGAAUUUUUUUUUUGGCGCGUGUAUCCAUCUGUAAGACCGUUGGUGGGUGGUUUUUUUUAUUUGCGACAUAAUUAGCGACGGAAAGGGGAGUUACCGACGACCAUUAUACCGACGGACGUGUUCCGUCGGUAAUUUUUUACUGACAGAGUUCAUUCCUGUCACCGAUAGAAUUAGUUCGUUGGUAAAACUGUUUAAUGAUGUAGCAUAGAAGAGUUCAUGAAGGAGUUUCACUCCAAUAAGGAAGUGGUUUUUGGCAGUAAGCUUUAUUGUUCUGCAACUGAGUUUUUACUUGUUAGAAGUAGGAGGGAAAUGUGGGCAGCCAUUGGAGAUAAGAAAAGAAAAUUUCAAUGGCUGAAAUUAAUGUUUGAGAGGAGGUCAAACAUAAAACCUUGGUGUAAGUGUAAAUCUGCUAUAAUGUACUUACACUUAUUUAUAUUCUAUUUCUUAGCAAUUGAAGUUGAUUGUGUUUUCAUAUGUUUUUUUUGCAGUAUUACAUGAAUUUCAUAUUUCAAGUGAAGAGUGGUUGGAUUGUAUAUAACACUGAUUCUGUCAACAUAUUGUAAUGAUCCAUGAACAUAUUUUGGUGUUGUGUGUUUUGGCAGUUACAAGAGCACAAUAUGGAUCCUUAUGUUGAUUUGCACUUCAUGAGCUGCUGCUGCUGCUGCUGUGUUGUUAUAAUAUGGUUCAAUGUACAGGAUUAGUCAUUGUUGUUUUUUCACAUUUCUAAUUUGAAACGUAUAUUAUGUUAAUGUAUUGCAUUUUAUUUGUAUCUGUUGGAUAAUGGUUCCUGUUGGAGGGUUGAAAAAUAUGUCAGAAUGCUUCCUAUUAGAAGCUGGAAUUAUAGGUGUUGAAUGUGGUUAGAAUGGCUGUAAACAUUUGGGUUGUGUUUGCUGUUGCAAUCUGGAAUUGGAUAUUGGAAUUUGUAAGUUUGAAUGGUUGUUAACAUGUUGAUUGUUAGCUUUGAGAGUUUGGAAUUGUUGGUGUAAAGUUGGUUUGAAUGGCUGUUAAAAGCUGGCAUUUGUACAUUUGUUUCUUCAUGUCUUGCAUUGCCUAUUUAAAGCACAAUUUCAAUUGCAGCACAUUCAUUUAAGCCGCCAACAUAUAACAAGCAUUGCCACUUGAAUUGCACUAUUUUAAGAAGGUUAGUUGCCGGUUUUGAGGUUAUAUAAUAAAUCAAUUUUAUGUACCUCAUUCCUCCUCAAUUAAUUGCUCUUAUUGUUGCAAACUUAACUAAAUUCAUUAUUGAUAAGUGUGCUUGUGAUGCAUGCAAUAUUGUAUUCAUUAAUUAUUACUAAAAAAUCUACGAUAAUUUGGGAAUGCUUUAUAGUUAUUGUUUUGGUUUAAGUUUAGGUCGCAUGAAAUUUUAAUAUUCAAAACAGAUUCUCUAUGUACAUGUAUUUAUGGAAAUUUCAUGGGUGAAAAUUAUAUUGUGUUGUAGAUAUGGAUGCAAAUUGGUUUAAUGAUCUAUUUGAUGACGAGUAUGACAAUGCUAUGAAUAAUAUUGUUCAGUAUGUGUCAAAUGGUUUGGUGGUACAAGUACUGGAUGUGGUUUUGGAUGUAGUAGCGGUGCUGGUAAUGGGAACAAUACAGAUGACGACGACGACGACGACGACGAUGCAAAUAAACACGAUGAUGAUGAGGAAGAUGAUUUGUUUUCGCUUAGAGAGUGUGAUUGCAAUAAAUUAUUAUUAUGCACAGCUGGAGCACUGACUUUGUAUUAUAAUAAUUAUAUUUACAAAGAACCAUGUAUGGUUUCAUACAACACAGGAAUGAGAUGGUUAAAUGAAAUUUUAAAUGGGCAUUGGGUACGUUGUGUUAACAUGUUUUGGAUGAAUGCAAACGCAUUACAGAGUUUGUGUGUUGAUUUGGGAACACUGUAUGGGCUAAAGUAGUCUAGAAAGAUGAGUGUUAUUGAGAAGGUAAGCAUGUUUCUUUAUACUUUAGCUUUAGGAGCUUCAAACAGGAAAGUUCAUGAGAGAUUUCAACAUUCAGGUGAAACCGUAAGCAGAUAUUUCAACGAAGUUCUUAGGUCGGUGUGCUUGCUAGCUAUUGAUCUUAUCAAAUCAGUAGAUCCAGAAUUCUCAACAACACCAAUGGAAAUUGCAAUGAAUCCAAGGUAUAUGCCACAAUUCAAGGUGAAAAAUACUUUAUCUAAGUUGUUAAAUAAUUGAAAAGGUUACAAACAAAUAUUUAUAGUACAUUUAAAUUGAUUCGUAAACUAAUUUUUUUUUGUAGAAUUGUAUUGGAGUGAUUGAUGGAACACAUGCACAUGCUUGUGUAUCACAAGAAAAUCAAAUACCAUUUAUUGGUAGAAAAGGUGUACUUGCUCAAAAUAUAAUGACAACAUGUAGCUUUGAUAUGCAAUUUACAUUUGUUUGGGCUGGAUGGGAAGGUAGUGCACACAAUACAAGAAUAUUUCUUGAGGCGAUUGACAAUCUAAAUAUAAGAUUUCUGAAGCCACUAGAAGGUAUUGAGACAUAAAAAAUUGGGGGUGUUGUUCAAUUUGAAUAAUUUUAUUUUUUGUCUGAAAUAGGAAAUAAGUUUUGAACUAUCAUUAUCUUGAUGCGGGGAAGUAUUAUCUCCUUGAUUCGGGAUAUCCAAAUGAGUACGGUUACUUGGGGCCAUAUAGAGGUGAGAGAUAUCAUCUUCCAUAAUUUCAUCGAAAAGGACAACUGCAAAGUCAGGAAGAAAUAUUCAACUGUGUCCAUUCAUUGUUACGAUGUGUAAUAGAACAUACAUUUGAAGUUUGGAAGAAAAGGUGGAGAAUCUUGCAAAACAUGCCUGUAUUUCCUUGCAAAACACAAGUUCAAAUUGUUGUCGCAUCAAUGACACUGCAUAAAUACAUUCGAAGGAAGUCGAUCCAAGAUGUUGCAUUUAACGAGUUUGAUCACCAUCCUGAUUUUGUUCCUACUGAUACUUUAACCAAUGUGGUUCCAUAAUCAUAAACACCUGGGCAUUAGAGGGCUUCGCGUAUGGAUUAUGUUCGUGAUGACAAUGCAACAAGUUUGAUGGGGAAAUAAUAUUCAUUUUUUUAAUAAAAAUGAAUAUUUUUUAUGCCGAUUAUUGUUCGUACUAAAUGUUAUUUUUCCUAUUAAAACAAAUAAUAAAUUAAUUUAUGUCCUUUUUAGUCAUUUUAUAUACAACAUCAAUCCUAACCACAAUUUUAACCAAACAUAUCAUGCAAUGAUUUUUAGCAAAAAAAAGUCAAACCACAAUUUUAACCAAACACACAUUUUAUAUGAACCAACCACAAUAAAAAUAAUUUUUUUAAAAUUACUUUGUUCAAACCACAACCAUAACAUUUACCACAAAAAUAAACACUCUUAGAGUAUGAGAUGAGGCCAGCUUUCAACUGCCAUGAAUAUUUUCUAGUAAUUCCUUAACUUAUACUGCAUAUAGUUUAAUUAAUUAAUUGGAAUAGAGAGCAUGUAUCCCAUCAAUAUCAUCCUGGGAGAGAUCUCUUUUCUUGCUUCCACGUUCUGUCGUUGGAUACAUGAUGGCUUCGGGAUGAUCUUUACUAUGAUAAAGGCCAAGCAGAUGUCCUAUUUCAUGAACAGUAACGGUUUCCAGGUCAAUUUGAUCCAUUGCGGGGUCAGUGCUCCAGUUCUCGUCUGCAUCGUAAUGGAGACGGCCGUCUUGUGGAUAAAAAGCAUGAGCCAGUAUAUUCCCUGGUCCAUCAAAAGGAGCCUGGUCCCCAUGAUCGCCGCUGUAGAACGCAAUUACAAUAUCUGCUGAUGCACCGUCAGUCGCCUCCUGGAAAGUGAAUGGAGAAACCUUUGCCCAUGUUUUGAAAGCGUUUGAGCAGACCGACCUCAAGGUGUCCGAACCAACAACUUGGACACCCGAGCCAAAUCUGUAGGUCAGAGCAUACUUGGAAGGUGGCCACUUUUGUGCCCCGAAAUCAUAAUGAACAACCAUGUGGAACUUGUUGUGUUUUGAUGUAGUGCUGUUCGGUUUAGUGGACGGAGUGUUUAUGAUAUCAGGCAUUCCACAUCGUGGAAUCAUCAUUUGUUGUAUGGUACUAGAGUCAAGGUUACCAGUAACAUUCAGGUGAAAAUAUUCUUGGUAUGUUUUGAGUGCUAGCUCCAAGUGGUCAUCAAAAUCACUGCUUGUGAGAGUGAUAUCACUUGGGUAGUACCCAAACUUUUUGAGGUACUGUUUGAGCUCAACAAGCCCUUGCACAGUUUGGCCCUUUUGAACCCCCUCCAGCCCUUGAAGGAAGCUGCUAAAAGAUUGCCGAUGCUCGGGUUUCAAGGUUCUUGCCUGACCUCUGAAGGACUGGAUAGAAAAGAUUACGAGGAUUGCUG
rnacentral:lncRNA from 1 species